rnacentral:lncRNA from 1 species
UUUUUUCUUUUUGUAUGAAUAUAUCCUAUCAUAUAAAUUGAAAAUAUAUUAAUAUAUUUAUCUAAAAAAAUUAAUUAAAAUAAAAAUAUUAUAUGAUCUUUAUAUGCUCAAAAAUACUUCAAUUUCGCUCAUAACUCGUAGUACUAUAUGUCAAAUUAAAAAUCUUGAUAGCCAAUUGCUGUAAAAUUUCUAAAUAGACUCUAUCAUAGAGUUGUAAAAUUUAUUUUAUUAUUAAUAAUAAUAUACUAUAUAUAAAAUUAAUUAUAUAAAUUUAUUAAUACCUAGGGAUGUAGUUGUCUUAGAUUGAACGGCCAUUAGAAUUCCAAAAAAACUAUCAACAUUCUUAUAUAAGAAUAAUGCGUAUGAUUUUAUCUUGCACCUCAAGACUUAGAACUAAUAUUAUAAUGUAUCUUGCAUCUCAAGGCAUGAAACUAAUCUUGCAAUGCAUUGAUAUAACCCAUUUAUAACUUUUGCAUCACCACAAGGCAUAGAACUAAUCUUACAAUAUAUUGAUAUGACCCAUUUAUAACUUUUGUAUCAAACUCAAUAGACGUGUUCUUAUAAAUGAAUUUUGGAUACUUAAUGGGCGAUGAAAUUGAUAAUUUCAUUUUUCAUCAAAUGAUCGUAAAUAUUUUCUUAUAUUUUUCUUCAUUUUCAUUAAAAUUUUUUUUGAAUUAUCUCCUUUGCUUUAUCUAUAGCCUCGUAAAUAUAUCACAUUACAAAUUUUUUUUCGUCAUCUACCAACCGAAGGACUCAAAUAAGAGAGCAUAUUACUAUUAAUAUAUAAAUCAUAAAAUUUCAAAAGGAUGACAAUAAGAUGAUAUCAUCGAUCUCUUUCCUUUUAUCAUUUGCUUGUCACCCAUUUUUCUAAGGUAAAUAUAUUUUUCAGGUUAUGUUUUUACAAUAUAAUGUCAAGAAGUAGCAAAUUAGGUAAAAUUAUGUCUCACCAAUUUUUUGUUGUUUAUGAAUUCUCUCAUUAUAUUCAAAGCUCUUAUAUAAUUAUAAAGAAAUUCAAUGACAAAUAUUGUACUUUCUAAAGUCUUAUUAAUUUUAAAAUUUUUUUCAAUAUCCUCUGACAUUAAAUCAAAAUGUGUGGGAUAUGAAGUCUAAUAUAAGUUAUUUUUUUUUGCUUCAAGUAAUUUACCUAAAAUAUAAGAUAACAAAAUUGAUAAGACUUAAAAGUCAUGUAGUUCUUCCAUUCAAAUUGGAGAUAAAAAGUAAUUAAAAGAUUAAAAAUUUUAAAAAAUAAAUCUUAUCAACUAACAUAUAGUUGUUUCCAUUGUCAAUUAUAAUUUGACGAUAUUUUAUUCACCAAUUUAUUCCAUAAAUUUACCAAACAACUCAUAUAUUUUUUCUCUAGAUUUUAUAAAAAAUGAUACAUCUAUUCAUUUCACAUACAUGAUUCCUAAAGAACAAUUAACCAUAAAAUUAAUUAUAUUCUUAUAUCUCUUGUGAUCCAAGCAACUAGCAUAAUAGAACAACUAUGCCUUAUAAUUUUUUGUAACCAUUUAAUAAUUUAUUUAUAUAGUUCAACUUUUUUUCAAUAAUGAAACUCAUAACUCAAUAACUUGGAGGUUCUAAUCUCCCACCAUAUCUUUCAAUAGCUUUAAUAAUCUCCUUAGAACUGUCUAAGUGAUAAGUACUAAGGGAAAUGUCAAUCUAAUAGAAGAAGUGAGUAAUGUAAUGAAUUGUUCUUCCUCUUAUUUCCUUAUCAGAAGUAGCACUUAUAUUUAUUUAUCUUAAUUUUACUCUUACUUGCUCUUGUUGUUUUUGUGAUCCUUGAUAUAUAUAUAUAUAUAUAUAUAUAUAUAUAUAUAUAUAUAUAUAUAUAUAUAUAUAUAUAUAUAUAUAUNNNNNNNNNNNNNNNNNNNNNNNNNNNNNNNNNNNNNNNNNNNNNNNNNNNNNNNNNNNNNNNNNNNNNNNNNNNNNNNNNNNNNNNNNNNNNNNNNNNNNNNNNNNNNNNNNNNNNNNNNNNNNNNNNNNNNNNNNNNNNNNNNNNNNNNNNNNNNNNNNNNNNNNNNNNNNNNNNNNNNNNNNNNNNNNNNNNNNNNNNNNNNNNNNNNNNNNNNNNNNNNNNNNNNNNNNNNNNNNNNNNNNNNNNNNNNNNNNNNNNNNNNNNNNNNNNNNNNNNNNNNNNNNNNNNNNNNNNNNNNNNNNNNNNNNNNNNNNNNNNNNNNNNNNNNNNNNNNNNNNNNNNNNNNNNNNNNNNNNNNNNNNNNNNNNNNNNNNNNNNNNNNNNNNNNNNNNNNNNNNNNNNNNNNNNNNNNNNNNNNNNNNNNNNNNNNNNNNNNNNNNNNNNNNNNNNNNNNNNNNNNNNNNNNNNNNNNNNNNNNNNNNNNNNNNNNNNNNNNNNNNNNNNNNNNNNNNNNNNNNNNNNNNNNNNNNNNNNNNNNNNNNNNNNNNNNNNNNUAACUUCUUUUUGUUUUCUAUAAUAUACUCUUUUCCUACUUGGAUUAACAUUUUCGUAAUAAUCUUCUUCUUGUUCAAAAUUAUCUUUAGGUAAAAUCCUAUAAGAUUCAUUCAUUUAUAAUUUUUUUCAAUCAUAUAAGCUAACGGCUCUUCUUUUACAUCAAGUGGACACUUCUUAUAGCUUUGAUGCAUUCUUAAAAUUAUCUGGUAUAAAAUUAUCUGGUUGAUGCCACUGUACAUGAAAAAUAUCACAUCUAGUAAUCUUAUCACAAAAGAUAACAAGUAAUUAUAUUAGGAUCUUUAAGAUCAUUUAGAUAAUUGUAUCCUUGAAUUUUUCGAAGAAUUUUUUAAAUUUCUUUGUACAUUUAUCAUUAAUCUUGACUCCCUAAUAAUAGUUCUAAAUAAAUAGAGAUUAAUGAUAUUAAAAUCUAAACAGUAUAUUAUCAAUCUAAAUAGAUAUUGCUUUAUACAAUAAUUAGAGGAGGAGAAAAGAGUCGUCGAUAAUGAAAAGUGAGGGAAGAAGAGGAUAACAAUAACGGAGGAACUUUCGGAUGACGACGAUGAUGGUGAAGGAAGAUGUAGAUGAUAACAAUAACAACAAAGGAAGCUUCGGAUGAUAGCAACGAUGGUGGAGGAAGCUGCAAAUGACGAUGUUAUGGGCGGAGGAAGUUUUAGAAGUGUUCAUUGGUCACGAAGGAAGCUACGAUCCUCUUCCUCUAAGGUGAAAGAAACAACAGUGGAAGGAACUACGCAUGAAGGCUAGGCUAUCAGACUCGUCCGUCGAUGACAAAGAAAUCAUCAUUAAUUUUUGCUUUGUGGCGGAAAUUAUCAUUAAUUUUUUAUCCUUUCUUUCCAGUAAACUAAACUGAGAUAAUGUAGUGAAUUCUUUGGAGAAAAAAAAGUAAUGAAUUCUUCACUCUAUAAAAAAUGUAACUUUUUGACACCAAAACAAUAGAUAAAACUUCAAUUCAGUUAUGUGCAAUCUCUAGUGCAUUCAUCUUACCAUCUAGCAGAAGUUUGUGGGUUGAUGGCUAACCAGCUGAAUGGCAUUUCUAUAGACAGGAAGAAUGUUUACAUUAGAAAGUUGAUAGAGUACUCAUUUCUAGCUUGGACCAAAUAGACAAGACAAACAAUAGAUAUGCCACUGAGAAAUUGAUCAAACAAAGUAUAUUCAAGGUUUGAAUGGAAAGAUUUAGGUGACAAUGUCAACAUUAAGUGUACUAAAGAUACAAAAGAAGCCAGCCUUCCUGUAGAUUUAGAAAUACCAGAAGAUAUGAAACUACAAGAUCCAAAUCAAGAACUAAAGAUAACUGCAACAGCAAACCAUAUAAGGAACAAUUUUGAGACCAGUAGAAUUGAAACUACAUGACCCAAAUCAAGAACUAAAGAUAACAGCAACAGUAAAGCAUAUAUAGAACAAUUUCAACAAGCCAAAGUCCCCCCCUAGCAUUUGAUAAGUUUUUUCACAAGGAAACUUCUAAUAGAAGCGGCUAUUCAUGAUUCAUGGUGUAGAAAUGGCGCAGGUGUCUAAUUUAUUAAUUAUCACUGCAUCAACAGCCGAUACGCCUCGUUGUUCAUCUCAUAUGUAAACUCAUAUCCAAGAUUCUGAGCUCCAAUCUUGAACUCUUUCAUAUCGGCCUUAGAAACUUGGAUGCCGACCAACACAUUUGCACCAGUCUCACCCUAUGAAGCAUAGAAAUCAGAAGUCAGAGGAAAUAAAUAUAGUACUCCUUUGUUCUUAAUUUGAAAAAAGGAAAUAGCCGAAGGAGAAAAAUAAAAUAUAUGCUCUGAUCUUUAUAUACAAAGUUAAACCCAUGUUAAGUCUCUCUUGGUAUGCAUAUCCCAGUGUGAUGUCACUGAUAUGACAACUCUACAAGAUGAAUAAAUUAAAAAAGAACCAGAUGAUGCAAAAUAACAUACCUGUGCUCGAUAAUGGAACAAGCUGAUAUUCCAACGUGGGCUAAAGGAGUCCAAGAAUUUCAUUAGAGCUCCUGGCCUCUCAGGGAAGAUAAAUCGGCAAAGUAGUUCAUCUUGAACAUUUGAUCGCCCUCCCAUCUGAAAUGAAGUCAGUAAAAACAGUGUUCAUGUUGAUUACCACAAAGACACCGGCAUACACAGAAUCUUUUACUGUAAUAAUUUGAUAGAGAUGGACAGACAAGCAAUUAGAUUGGAGCUCUUUCAAUGUUUGUGAUGCAUGUAGUCAUGUUUUGGCUCAGUGCAUUGAUGCCAAAUGUUGGAUAAAUUGGGGGACAAUAAAUCUACUGAAAUCUAAUUAUCAGGUUGGUUCCUUUUCUGUUCAUGGAACUUGUAGAAGCUCAUAUAGUUCUCAGCUGCCCUACAUGAAUGGUAGACGAAACUAACUGCUUUUUCAAAAAAUAGAAAAUUGAGAGGCAAGAGUCUAGAUUUUUCUAGAUGAGGACCGAGGCAAUGGAAGUAGGAGCAUUUUAAAUUAGAGAAGAAGGGAGAAGAACAACGAGAAAAUGAAGAACAUUGAGAAUGAGAAAGAGACUACUAGAGAGGGUGAUAAGAGGAAGAGUCACUGUUGAUCACUAACAUGAUAAAUCAAACUUGCACAAUCAUAUGAACUAUGCUUUUGGCAAGGCCAUACUUGCUAGCUACUGCAUGUACAGAUGGAGUUGGUCCACAAUUCUCUCAAAAUGAAGCUAUUUCUUUAGAGAUGCGAAAGCAUGAAGACAUAAUCACUUUGAUGUUGGAUAUUCGUAUAGUUGUAUAUGCACAGAGUAAACACACUUCUGUACAUAGCAAACAUUUUGUGCAUUAUCAGUAUCUUCAUUUCUAAAGUAAAUAUCAUAUAGAAACUUGUUAAUUUACAUGAUAAAGUGUCAUGUCAAAAUUAGUGUCAGAUAAGUCUGUCAGUUGCAAGCCCAAUCCUAGUAUCCAAUACCCAUCUAAGCCAAAAUAACACAAAAAAACAAUAAACUAAAAAUCUGGAUGCAGACAGGCAUCAAGAGAGGCGAGCUAGCACAAUCUGACAACAACCAUUAUGAACAAUAAAAACAUGUAUUUGUAAAUUCUAAUAAGAUGGUAGAUGUCAAAAUAUUCCAUAAGGCAAGAGACAUACAAAGUAUCGCAGAUGAUCUUUUGCUAAGUCAUCACUGGUGAGGUUAAAAGUUUUAAGUUGUGCAUGUUCCAUUCGAUGUAUCAUUGCUGCAAGUUCCGAGUCAGUAUGAACACCAACACUGCAAUAAUGUAUUUAAAAAGCUUUGAUAAUACAAUUAUUAUGAUAAGAUAUAAAAGGAAGUCUAACAUGAUAAAGAAAACUUCAGAAAGGUCAAAACAGCAAAAAGUGAAAAGAAAAAUAGUUCCAAUCAUUUUAGAGGUUUGUUCAUACAAGCAUCAAUGCAAAACUUGCCUAUAAAGAACAAGAGCAUGUUCUUUACGUGAAUCAUAUCUGUACUUGAACUCUGUAAUAUUCAUAGGGCCAACCUACAAAAGUUCAUACGAUCAAAAUCCAAAUUUCAUUCCUGAAAAGAAAGUAUUCAUGAAGUGAAUCUAUCAAACAUACCAGUUUACAGAAUUUUUUAAAACUCCCUUGCUCCUCUGGUAGAUGAGUUGCCAGAACAGCCUCGCGUUUCCUACCAACAUCAGCUAGUUCAGUUACCAGCCUUAGCCUAUCAAAAUUCAUGUUUGCCCCACUAGUUAUUGCAACAAUAUUCUCAUCUUUCAAACCAUAGUAUCUGCAGUAGGCUUCUGCACCAGCUAGAGCGAGAGCACCAGCUGGCUCUAGUAUGCUCCUUUUCUCCUCAAACAUAUCCUGUAUUGCAACAAAGACUUCUCAAAAUCCAAAUUAAUCUCUGUUAAUUUCUACCACUUUACAAAAUUGCAGGAGGGUGCAAAAUUCAAUAUCUACAAGAAUCUAACAAUUCAAAAAUUAAGAAAGCCCAAAGCCUUAAGACAACAGUUUCUUAAAAUGUUCACUCAAAACAUUAUCUUGAAAUAUUAUCACUGUUGGAAAGCAUUGUGAAACUGUGUUAUGUAUCACCAAGAAGAAUCAUUGAUCAGCCAUGGAUAUUGAGGAACAAACUCACUAACAACCUUAUUAGAGUCCCUUCCUUUUUUGUUAAUCAAAUACCACGACUGACAUAGCAUAACUAUUGCAGAAUGUUAUGCAUAGAGAAUUAUGUAUUUAACUACAAAGAGCUUCUCAUAAAAAACUAAUAAAAGCCUCAGCAACAUAGUCCCUUUUCAGAAGUAUGGUUAACCAAAAUAAUCAUUCUAAAUUAUCUUAUGCCAUUAAGCUUCUGGAUACAAAAUUCUAUUUUGCUGACAGAGAAAUCAUAACCUUCUACCCACCAAGAAGCCAAUAAAAUUUUGCAGCCUCUUGUAAUACAAGUUUGCACGUACUAUCUUGCUUAUCCAACAGAAGGUUCAAAUUGAUAUGACAAUGUAUUAACUAGUCAUUCGUAUUGCAUAACAACCAUUGAGCUUCUACUGAUAUAGUGACAGUUUCACUUUCAUAUCAACGUAAGAGGUUUAAACCAAAAAAGGCAUGACCAUUUAAACUUAAAAUUCAUGGAUUGUUGAACAGUUUAUCUUCUCUCUUAAUAGAAAAAGAAAUAUGCAAGUUUCUAAUUUUCCAACAAUUUUGCUUUCACAUUAAUGGUCCCUAAGAAAUGAAUAUGAACUCUGAAUAAGAUUAAUAAAGAAAUAAUAGAAAAUAGAUAUUUUCUGCAAAAUGAAUGAAACAUUUACAUCAACUUGUCAUGGCAUUGAAUCCUCACUAUUUGGGUUGUUUUAGGUCCACCAAUCAUCCUUUGCCAUUCAUAUCUUCUUAUGUUGUUUCUGAGACAUUUUAUAUUAAUCUCCCUAUGCAUAGCAUGGAGCUUCUAAUUUGAAUUGACUCAUUUCUCCUUAAUGAUCUAUUUAGUGGUCUUUUUGGAGGCAUGCAAAUUACCAUAUUAUGAUGAUGGUAAUUAAAACACACAAUCACAUAGAGAUACAAGAGAAGAAUUAUUAGUAGCAAUCAAAAUUACAACCAAAUAAAAUAUACUAGGAACAUGUUCUUUAGUGCAGAACUUAUUGUCCCUUCUAUGGGCUAGGACUCAAGGAUCAGUGGCACAAAAUCCUAAAUGUUAUGAGACUGACCUACUAAAUCAAUGAACAAGAGAAAUGGAAUAGAACUUCACCUUUAUAGAUGCACAAAUAGCAUCACGACUAACAAGAACCACUCCAUCAACAAGUUCCCUGCACAGGCGAAAAGUUUCUUCUCCAACCACUUUCACAGCCACACCAUCUGCAAAUCCUCCCACUUGCUCUAGCAUGAUCCUCUCCCCAUGAUAUAGAGACAAUGCCAUUGCAUUUGCGUCAGAAGGCUCUACUCCAAUGAUCUUUACCUGUUGAGAAAGCUCAAUUAAAUGAACAUCUCUCAAGGAGGAUUACUCACUUUAUUCUAAUUUAAUUUAAUGAUAUAGCAGUUGUUUCAUCCCUUCUAAUCAUGCAUUUCAUGUUUAAAACUUAAUAUGAGAUUAAUAAGGAAAACUAAGUGCAUGAGACUCAUACUUCUACCAAUAUGAGAUCUGAGGGUCAAUAUAUACGACAUUCUCCUGCAAGCAGACAGAAUAUUUCUUAACUAGAAUCCAGUCACCCAGUUCACAAAAUGAGUGACCUUACCAUGGCACUAAGGCUUACUAGAGGAAAAAUUCACUACCAAGGUAGUUCGAGCAAACACAUUCUAAAGUUGCUAACUUAUAUAAUAAAAUAACUAUAUUACAAGGUAAGAAAUUUAAAGACCUGACCAUGACUUAAUAACUCAUGAGAAUGCAUCUUGUGGAUCACAGUCAAACUGAGAUUGAUGGCCAUGACUCAAGAACAAGUUCUAUGCACAUAUACAGAGACAUUUUACACUUCUAUAAAAGUAAUUUUCAGAAAAAGAAAACGAGUUGUUUGUCUUGGAAGAGUUUACUGGAAAGUAGAAAGAAAACAAAUAAAAAAAAUUUAUACUAUGUCAUUUAGUUACCAAAUGUUCAAUUUUUAAUGAGUGGUUUUCUUUUGAUAAUCACCAAGUACUUAAUUUAAAAUAAGUUCAACAAAAAUAGAAAUACACAAAAUAUAUCCAGUCACUAUCACUUCUCAUCGGUUACAAACACAUUUUCUACAACAUUUUCUAUGAAAUAAUUGAGGAUUACAAAUAUAGAAUCAUGCCUGAUGGUUGCUAAUAAAACCAAAAAUAAUUUAUCAUGCAAAACCAAGGUCCGCCAUACCGUACCGUACCGGAGUUUCGACCCGGGCUUAGUACGGUAUGGUACCGGUGUACCGGGUGGUACACCCUGGUGUACCGAUAAUUUUAUAUUUUUAUACUAUAGCAGUGCUACAGUGUAGUACUGUAGCACUGUAGCAGUACCGGGUGGUCCGCGUACCGAGUACCUGUCAGACCGGUACGUACCGUCUGGUACGGGCGGUACGCUUCAGUACGGGCGGUACGCUUCGGUAUGGACGGUACGCUUCGGUAUGAUAGACACUGUGCAAAACACAUACAAGAUUAUCAUUUAUCAUUAUUCAUUAGUUACAUUUACAUAUUCUCAUUCACUUUGUACAAAAAAAUUAUGGAUAACAUAUACAGAACCAUGCUUCAUGUUGCUAAACAGACGAAACAUAAAUUAUUACAAAUCUCUUGCUCAAUGAGUGCAACAAAAUUAUGGACUAUGCCAAAAAUAAUAAUUCACCCUUUUCACAAAAAUGAAUGUAAAAUAACAUGAAAGAUAUGACCAUGCAAAAUCUUUAGUUUUCAUUGAUCUACUUCUGCUGGUUCACUGAUCCAAUUUGGAGAUGGACUGCUUAUGGAUGUAUGCCAGUUCCAUCAAUAUAUUUUCAUUACUCCAUUACUAAAACACAAUAAAACAAAAAUCCAUAUAUUUUGUUAAAAAGAUCAAUACCCAUCUUGAAUGCUUCUUCACCAAUAAGUUUUUCAAAAUUUUGUAGCAAUCUGAAAUGGAGGAUAAAUGCAGUUUAAGUAACAUAGAGAUUUACCACCAUGCACAAACCUCUGGGCGAACCCGUUUUACAUAAGCAGCAAUUCCUGCUAUCAAUCCACCACCUCCAACUGGUACAAAUAUUGCAUGUAGUGGACUACUCAUUUGGCGAAUUAUUUCCAUUCCGAUUGUUCCCUGGCCUGCAAUAACAUCAUGAUGAUCAAAUGGAGGUAUGAAUGUCCGACCCUCCUGGUCUCCACGUUGCUUUGCAUGUGACUGUGCUUCAUCAUAAGAGUCCCCCUUAAGGACAACUGUUGCACCUAAUCUCUCAACGGAUCGCCACUGAGAGGUAAAAAUAAUGUACAUCCAAUUAUACAAAAACCAAGAAACAAGCACAUGAAGUAUGACACUUUUUUCCAAGUGGCCAUUGUAGAAAGAAGCGAUUAACAUUCAGGCAUGUAGAAACCUUGAUUUCUGGCGUUGUCACUGGCAUUACAAUCACUGCAUCACAACCUAGUCUCUGAGCAGCUAAAGCAACUCCUUGGGCAUGGUUUCCAGCCGAUGAGCAGAUAACACCCCUAUCCAAUUGCUCCCUUGGAAGUUUAGCCAUCAUAUUGUAGGCUCCUCGCAACUUGAAGGAGAAUACCUGCAUAUUUAAUAUAUAUGUCACUAACAAUCAAUUAAAAUAUUGAUUGAAGAACAUAUCAUCGAAUCUAUAUUGAACUAACCACAAAACAUAUUGCAAAGCAAGUUCAUAACCUCCCGUGGCUGAUUUACUAUAGCCAGAUAACUGAAGAAAGAUGGGUCAUUACCAUAUUGUCAUGGACAAACUUCGAAACAAGAUGUUUGAUGUAAUGCUUAUGUAUGUCUGUGUCUUUUGGUAUGUUCAUGCUUUGUACAACAUGUAGAGGGAUGACCGAAGGCUUAAUAGUCCCAUUUUAGUAGGAUUGAUGACAUCUUUAGGCUUGUAAAUAAAGGUUGUGUCAUGUGGAUACGUGUGAGAGAUUUUCGGUCUGUAAUGGACCAUUUUACCCUUUGGUGUGCAUCUGUUCAGAGCUUGUAAAAUCUGUUUGUAAUUUGCAUUGUCUAUGAAGUGUUUUUCGAAGAUGUUUGCUUGUGGAUCCCGAUUGAGGCGUUCUCUCUAACCCGUUCUCUCUUUUGUUGGUCCUCAGGGACGGAGGCUUCGGGGAGGCUGACCUUUGCGGACGGACACGCAAGAGUACCGCACGACUUAGGCAAAACCAGCUAAGUCCGUGACAGAUGGUAUCAGAGCGGGACAAGCACUCAUAGAAACACUUAGCAUGCAAAUGUGGGGGACCUAGUGGGGCUGCGUUGAGGGCAGUUAGCACACGUGCGACCGUUUGGGGGAAAACAGGCAUGGAGAUGUAGGGAAAAGGAGUCGCUCGGAGGAGCGGGCAUCUGAGAUUGACAUUCAGAGGAAUGGCCAACCCUUCGCGCAAGAGGCACCACGAGAACAGACAAGCUUGGAAGAAUGCGGAGCGCACAAAGGUUGGGAUGACUGAGUUUGAGCUACAGCUCAACGUUGACAACUAUACUUGAUGGUGCUCAAGACAAGCGAGGCACUUGGUAAAGGAUGAGACCAUGCAAGGUGGAAUGAGUUGCUCAACGACCAAAAGAGUUAUGCAAAGCUCACAGAGGUGAGGGGAAUUGCUAAGUCGAAGAAUUUGGUACUCAUGCAUGGGCUUGUAUGCGGACGAUGGAAUGUUCGUGGCCAUCCCAAGGCGACCGAAACUCGGCGCCAUCGAGCAUUGAAACUUUCUCUUCGGCAUGCGAAGGAUACGUCUGUAGGAGGCUGAAGUGUACAACGAGUUCAGCAUGUUGCUAGGCCUUGAGUGGUGCAGCAGGGGCUGUAUUGAUGUGGAGUCGCAAUCUAGCAAGUGCGCAGGAGGCAGAACAAUGCACAGUUUGUUCAGCAGAUCGGAGUAGUCCAAGGGGAUGGUGGUCUCCGAAACGAAGAGAGAUGUUGCUCCAAUGGGACAGUUAUCCAGGAGGGAUAAGUCCCGGCUCUCCAGAGGGAGGAAUAUAUGGGACAGACCUCACAAGUUGAGGAGGAGUACCUCAACAAAUAACAACUCCACGAAGCUCAAUGGACUGAGCAAGCGGCGAUGAGUUGUUGCAUGAUCUCGCUCGAGAGAAUGCAUUGGUGGAUGCAUUGCGAGAUCAAGUGGGGAAGCGACCCAAAGCAACACAAAUGAAGGCACACUUAGAGUCGAUAUGGAGAUCAGACUCAAGGAAGGGCUGACCCGUGGAAUGGUGGGCACGAGGGCCACUAUCGACUCAAUGCAAAAACGAGGAGCGGAGCAACUUGGGUGUAACUUGGCGAAGUACCCAAGCCGCAUGAAGGGAGCCAGCAGAGAAGUUGGAACAUGGAGCAGAGGCACAAUGCUUUCCUUAGACAUAGGUCAAGGACAUGAACUCUUGUAGAGGUAAGAGUAGGAUCAUGUUGUUCCAUGGGUCCUUCAUUCUAACGGAAUGGACUCAUCUUGCAUAGUACCAAAGACGAAGGGAGCUUUUGGGCACAUGCACCUUAUCUCGGAGAAACAUUUGAUGGAGGAACUAAGGCGACUCAACUUAUGAAGGCGAAGUUGGGUUCGGAAGGCCUUGGCACGGGGCAAGAGGACGCGGAGGCAGAUACUCUUGAAGAAUAUGCCAUAGUGUUGUCAUUCAAGUUGCCAUGAAGGAAGCGGUGCGUAGCGGAGAUUAUGCUGGUAGGGGCAGAGGCCCAGGAUCCAGACAAUGGUGCACAAAUUACAGUGAAGUCGGUGGACUUCGGGAGCUACUAGGCGACGGACUGUCCUAGAGCGGUGCUUCAUCCAGGUGUGACCCAAGAGUGGGUGGAUGAAGGUCGAUUGCCAAAGGAACGAACAAAAUUGAAGGUGGAAGAGACCCUGCGAUGUAUUGGCAGAGGCCACACAUGAAGGGUUCACAAUUCAAGUUCCUCCCACAAGGAUCAGAAUGCAAUAGAGAUGUCACCAGGAGGCGACAUGGUGCAGCGGAUCGUGGUGGAACAGUUCGUGGCAAUGCGAUACACACAACAUAGUCCCGUAAGGGACUAGAUCAUACAGAGGUAUGAUUGGGAGCUACUGGAAGCUCCACUUCGGUGAACAACACGACGAUAAGAAGGGCUAUGGAUUCAAGGAGUGAAGGCCAUGGUACCGCAGAGGUGGGUCUUCCGGGCGUGCAUCGAAUUUUGCAUCGGAUGAAAGCCUUGGUCAUCAGCAUAUGGGGGCUGUGUUCCACCAAGGGAAAAGUUCGAAUGCAAGUACCAGUGAGUCCCAUGGGAGGGACUUGAUCAUGCAGAGGUAUGAUCGAAGCAGCUGGAGAGUUGGACUGCUCCAGAGCUUAUAUUCGCUUAAGGGAGCCCGAUAAGUCAGAGGACAAGGUCGAGUAAGCGAACGUUGCUACCAAGGAAGCCAAGGAGAAUAGAAUCGGUGCAAACCCUACAACGUGAUGGCAGAGGCCAUGCAUGGGAGUUGCAGUCUGUCUUUCCAUCGACCAAACAGAUUGCUUGGAGAACACAGAGGUGUUGAAGUAGGGGGUCGAAAGGGGCGAGGAAGCGACGACGAGUCCAGAGGGACUUAGCUACCCAAAAUCAAGCAUCAGUUAGAAUGGAGGUGGACUCAGAGGAGUGUCACAGAGGCAUAUCUACUGAUUGUGAAGAAAAGGGAUAUAGAUACGAGGCGACGGAUAGUAGUGCCAUGGGCAUGGCAGCGCCAUGGUACCGCAGAGGCGGGACUUCCGUGAAAGUCAUUGAUCCCUUGCUCUCAUGGAGGGAGAGCGCUUGGUCGUGAAAGGGGCCGAGGAGGUGGAGCAUGCAGAGGCAAUCUUCAAGUACCGAGACAAGGCUGAAGAGCAGAGGCCGAGGAACUUCGUAAGACCAGUGUCAAUGAGCUUCUCAUCAAGAUAGCCAAAAGUGAAGGACUUCGGGUCAUGCAAGAGUGCAUAACCAAGGAACGAAGCAGGCAGUACGCGAUGAUGUACCUUUGCUACUCAGUGGAGUAGGCGGCAGGGUUGAUGGAGAAGACGGUACAAUCCCAAAGGCGACCAAACCUACGAGAGAAUUACUCCAAGUUGGGGUGAAAACUUCCCACAUUCCAAAAGUUCGAUGGCAUUGAGAAGGUGAAUCACAGUAGUUAACUCAACGCAAGGAGUGCAAACACUUCAAGUGAUUCAGAAGUGUGAGCAAAGAGCAGGCGAAGGCCAGUAACCAGCUCGAUGCAUGAAGUACAACCUCGAGAAGGCGGGCGAAGUCAAGUAACCUUUGCCUUCUCAACUCUUAAGAGAAUGGGCAAAACCGAGUAUCUCAAUUCUUUUAUCUAUCCAGCAGAGGAGCUCUGCAUAAGUUCAAAGACCCUUCGAAGAUAACGAAAGACAAUAGUUGUCAAAUCCUCACCAACGGUGAUNNNNNNNNNNNNNNNNNNNNNNNNNNNNNNNNNNNNNNNNNNNNNNNNNNNNNNNNNNNNNNNNNNNNNNNNNNNNNNNNNNNNNNNNNNNNNNNNNNNNNNNNNNNNNNNNNNNNNNNNNNNNNNNNNNNNNNNNNNNNNNNNNNNNNNNNNNNNNNNNNNNNNNNNNNNNNNNNNNNNNNNNNNNNNNNNNNNNNNNNNNNNNNNNNNNNNNNNNNNNNNNNNNNNNNNNNNNNNNNNNNNNNNNNNNNNNNNNNNNNNNNNNNNNNNNNNNNNNNNNNNNNNNNNNNNNNNNNNNNNNNNNNNNNNNNNNNNNNNNNNNNNNNNNNNNNNNNNNNNNNNNNNNNNNNNNNNNNNNNNNNNNNNNNNNNNNNNNNNNNNNNNNNNNNNNNNNNNNNNNNNNNNNNNNNNNNNNNNNNNNNNNNNNNNNNNNNNNNNNNNNNNNNNNNNNNNNNNNNNNNNNNNNNNNNNNNNNNNNNNNNNNNNNNNNNNNNNNNNNNNNNNNNNNNNNNNNNNNNNNNNNNNNNNNNNNNNNNNNNNNNNNNNNNNNNNNNNNNNNNNNNNNNNNNNNNNNNNNNNNNNNNNNNNNNNNNNNNNNNNNNNNNNNNNNNNNNNNNNNNNNNNNNNNNNNNNNNNNNNNNNNNNNNNNNNNNNNNNNNNNNNNNNNNNNNNNNNNNNNNNNNNNNNNNNNNNNNNNNNNNNNNNNNNNNNNNNNNNNNNNNNNNNNNNNNNNNNNNNNNNNNNNNNNNNNNNNNNNNNNNNNNNNNNNNNNNNNNNNNNNNNNNNNNNNNNNNNNNNNNNNNNNNNNNNNNNNNNNNNNNNNNNNNNNNNNNNNNNNNNNNNNNNNNNNNNNNNNNNNNNNNNNNNNNNNNNNNNNNNNNNNNNNNNNNNNNNNNNNNNNNNNNNNNNNNNNNNNNNNNNNNNNNNNNNNNNNNNNNNNNNNNNNNNNNNNNNNNNNNNNNNNNNNNNNNNNNNNNNNNNNNNNNNNNNNNNNNNNNNNNNNGAAGAGUCAAUGAGUAAAUUUUGUGGAGGAAGGACCCAAAACUUCAUAAGUUUGCGAGACGAUGCUCGUUAAAGCUCAAACAAGCAUCCACCCAGUUCAAGCAGCAUGAGGAAUUUGAGAGACUGGCGCAGUAAGGAUGGUCUUUUCCUUCAUCUGGGGGAUCCGCAGGAAUCAACAAGGAUCAACACAACUCAGCCAACCCCACACCAGAGUUAGAGUCAUUGGUGAGUUGAAGCAGCAUGGCGGAUCAAAGGUUCGACUACUCAAAAACAGUAGCGGAGAGCAAUUGGGAGCCAAGAGGUGCAUUGCAGCUGGAGCAGAAGAUUGAAGACUCAGCAAAGGCGAGGAGUUGCAGUGUCGACAAAGGCUUCGACGAGGACGUCGAAGGAAUAAGUGGGGGAGAAUAUCACGGACAAACUUCGAAACAAGAUGUUUGAUGUAAUGCUUAUGUAUGUCCGUGUUUUUGGUAUGUUCAUACUUUGUACAACAUGUAGAGGGAUGACCGAAGGCUUAAUAGUCUCAUUUUAGUAGGGUUGAUGAUCUCUUUAGGCUUGUAAAUAAAGGUUGUGUCAUGUGGACACGUGUGAGAGAUUUUCGAUCUGUAAUGGACCAUUUUACCUUUUGGUGUGCAACUGUUCAGAGCUUGUAAAGUCUGUUUAUAAUUUGCAUUGUCUAUGAAGUGUUUAUCGGAGAUAUUUGCUUGUGAAUCCCGAUUGAAGCGUUCUCUCUAACCCGUUCUCUUUUUUGUUGGUCCUAAGGGACAAUGGGAGGCUUCGGAGAGGCUGAUCUUUGCGGACGAACACGCAAGGGUGCCGCACGACUUAGGCAAAACCAGCUAAGUCAUACGACAGUCAUCAAGAACAAAAAGCUAAUUGGGAAAAGGAAUAAAAAGGCAUUUCGGUUAGAUUCUAUGAAACUAAAGGAAUAAUACUGAUUCGAUCAACCAACAAAAGAAAAGAAUCUCUAAAACCCUAUCUUUUCCAUAAUCAUGCCUACAUUAAGGGCAAAAUAGAUGCAAAAGGCACUUGGUGGCUUGAGAUGAGACAUAAGCCGAAGCAUCUGCCACAUCGCGUCCAAAAAUGAAAGUAGGAAACAUCGAUCAAAUAACCACAAUAAGGUCUAUAAUCAAAACACAAAAAAGGAAGAAGGCACCUUUUUAGGCUUUCAAUCAAAUAAAAAAAGGAUUCCGCAACAGUUACCGGCUGCAAGUCCUCUCUCUUGAGCCAAAGAUCGACCUCAAGCCUCGCCGAUAGCUUCGGCGCCAGCUGCAGCGGCGACUCGAUCGCCACAUCAUAAACCCUCGACGUCAGUAUACUCGUCAGGUACUCCAUCGGAUUCAACGCCCCGUUUUGACCUACAUCACCCGGUGGCGGCAGCGACAGCUUGGUCUUCUCGGAGAUGCCCCCAAGGGAGCCGCUUUCGUACUGCAAAGAGUCCACCGAGACACUCUUGAGGGGUGGGGCGAGAGAGAUCGCCUCCGGCUGAAACGUGUGAGCCGACGACGAAGACGAAGGCAGGGCAUCAGCAGCGACAAGUGGCCCUCUUCUGACACCAGCGUGGGACCCCGGAGAAUGGUGGUGGAGGCGAAAGGAGGCGGCGAGUGGGGCAAGCCUCGCCAUCGCCGGCAGCCGAGGCGGCGGUGGGCGUGACAGGGCGAGGGACUCCAUCGCCUGGCUUGGGUUGAGUCGGGGGGUUUCAUUUGCUGGCGAUUUCUGGGGGUUUAUGACAUGAAUGAAGUCAUCUAAUUCAGACAUUCUUACCUACCCGCUAAGAUACCUUAUUUUUAUUAAAGAAAACAGUGGGUCCGGGUGACCUUCGCGGAGCUUCCUCGUGUACGUCACCUGGGUGCAACGAAACGGUUCAUGUAAGUAUGACAAUUCGGGUGGGCCCGUUGACAACUCUUCCCACUCGUUGACUAAAACUCCGACUACAUGCAUAAGAUCAUAAUGCACGUGCAACCUCACGUGGUAGUAAAAAUAUUAUACAACGCUAUUUUACUCCUAGUUUUCUUCACAUGGUUAUUAUAUAAGCAAAUUUGAAACAAACAUAAGAUUUAAUCUUCAAAUAUUACGGAAAUGAAUUAGCUACUGGAAGUAGAUUUUAUGUUUUUCUAAAUUUCAGAAAAAAUCUUUUUAAUCUCAAUUAUAAUUUUAUUUUUAAUAAGGAUUCUUUUAGUGAAAUAUAAUAUUUUAUUUCUUUAUCGUCGUUCGAAUUUAACGUAUUGUCACAGACAAAAUUAUAAAGUGUAUGUUUAUGUUUCUUGAUUUUUUUUAUUAGAAAGCUUAUAAUAAGUUUAACAAUAGUUGAAAUUGACCUCAAGCUUAUCUUGAAUAUUCCACACUAAAAACCAAACCCCUUAACGUGAUUUAUGAUGUUUAAAAUAAUUAUAAAUAAUAAUUCGUGAUAUUUAAAAAAAAUUUAAUCGAAUCAUCCGUCUAAGCAUUUACAUUAAUGAUUUCAAAAAUUGAUCGUGAUGAGUUACUAAUCAUAUUAUUCUAAAAUCGUGAAUAAUUAAUUUGUUAUAAAAGGUUGAUGUAUUUCUUAUUCGGAAUAAACAUAAUUAUAUGUAUUCCAAUACAUGCACGGAUGCAUGAUUCGUAUUUUAAUCGAGUAUAUUCGUGUGAUAUAUCGUGCACGAGAUCGGUGUGGUUUUAGUAAGUAUACGCAAUACAUCACGUAUGAGAUCGAUACCUGUUGACGUGGCGGAUCGUUAUUGGGUCUGCCGAUUGCUGAGUCGAGGUGGCCAUUUCUUCCCGGUCAAAACGGGGCAAACUCGUCAAAGAAAGAGCAACGUGUAAAACUCCUUCGGUGGAAGCUACUCGCUCCCCUGUUUCAUCUAAUUCAGGGACCAGGAAUUCACAGUCGUAGAGUAAUGUGGGACCCACGUUGAUGCAUUGACCAAUGUGCUCUCUUCCUUGUGUUUUCUAGAGGGGCGAAGUGGGUGUUUCCUGCAUUGGUCAAGACAAGGAGGAGCCUUUCGUCCUCGCCGUGGGGACAGACGUGUCGCGCGCCACAAGCUGACGGCCGCGGAACAAGAGAAGCGAUGACUUCCCCACCGAACGAUCGAACAUGUGGUGGGCAGCCCGCGCCCCUAAUCCUCCCCAUGUGUUCGUUCCGUGCCUUCCUCUUUCAUUUGGCCCCCCUCCGCUUCAAAGAUUCCUCCGCAUCUUCCUCCAUCUGAUUCCUUCUCUGUACUUGCUUCUUCUUAUACGUCUUCCGCGCUCCACCCGUUCGACAAAAAAUCUCAGUGAAACUAUAAGAACAACAACUGAUACGAAGAAAAGGAGCAAACGAAGUCGGGAGAUGUUGAAGGCUUUGGCUUCCGCCUCUUCUUCCCACGUGAACGCCUUCUCCCAGCUCCAGACGCAGAGCCCGAACCUCAUCGUUUGCUCCUCCUCCUCGUUCCGCCACUCCCCCGGCCCCCGCAAGGCCGUCGCGCCGUCCAUCCGCCGGCCCGACGCCGACCGCUGCUCCCUCUGGAGCCACCAUGGUUCGGUCCCGACGCGGUCGAGAUCGGACGGCGGUGGUGCUUCCACUGCCGCCGCAGCGGUCCAUGGCGAGCUGGAGCUGUUCCUGGAGCUGGUCCCGCCGAGGAUGCGGAGGGAGCUCGCGCGGCACGAGGAGAUCCGGGAGCUCAUCGAGGUGGUGAUGGAUUUGGGGAGGAAGCCCGUGGCACGAUUCCCGUCCGGGGAUUGGAUCAUGUCGGAAGAGCCUGUCGGGCUUGAGGACCUUCGCCAUGCCAUUUCUAAGGUGAUUCCGAAUGAGUUUUUGAUCUGCUUUGUCCUCUUUUCUAGCUUUAGGUAAUUCCUAUCCAAAAAGGAGCUUUUGAUCUUGUUGCUAUGAUCUACUUGGUUUUUCUACCAUGAAGUUUUAUUUGACUAUGAUUUACAUCUUACAGAAACGACGGAUUGACAUAUAUUAGUAACCAACACUCAUUGUGACAUAUGAAUUGGAUGUUUUCUUAGUUCAGAUUAAUAUAGUUUUUCCGUCAGGAUGGUGACUUGUGAUUUUGUAGUUUGCAAUUAUAAAACUUAACUUUUAGUUCACAGGUUGGUGACUUUUCCGAUGACAAUCGAUCUGGCAUCAACCGUUCCUUGCACAGAAUUAGUGCCAUUCGGAAUCGGAAGAUGCAAAUAAUUGGCCUCACUUGUCGAGUCGGUCGGGCUAUAUCUGGGAGUGCCAAGAUGAUUCGUGAUUUGGUUGAGGGUGGAGGCUCUAUCUUGGUAAUUGGGCCUCCUGGUGUUGGGAAGACUACUCUGAUCAGGUACUGCAUGUGUUUCUUGUGAGUUAUCGAUUAUUAUCUCUUAAGCUGGACAUAUCAAUAAUUUUGCUUUUUAUUUAUCUUUCAAUCAACUGAAUGAGACAUUGCUUGAUCAUAUUGAAGUACCAAAUAGACUUUAAGAUUCAUAACUUGUAUUGACUUUUCUUUUGCACUGUGUGUGGCACACACACAUAUCAUGUAGUCACUGACUCUACAUUGAUAUUACAAAAAGGGCUCCCUCGUGGAUAUGCAUAUUACCAAUAACUGGUUUUAGGUUUUCUGUAAUGGCACCUUUUUCUGUCAAGUAGUUGUUUCUCUUCUAUGACUCAUAGCCACAAUGCAAAGCUUCAAGGAACUUUCUUCUUACUAGAAAUGUGAUCAGCAGCUAGACCUGCUUUCUGUAUAAUAAUUGACUCGAGAGAUGAAAAUGAUGCUGCGACAACUAAACAAAGUGUCUGUCAUAGAGUUAUCGUAUGUUGUCUCAUGGAGUAAAAAUUUUAUGCAGUUAUUGUCUUAAUGUCAUCAUCACCUAAGUUAUUUACCUUGCAGGGAAAUAGCUAGAGUUUUAGCAGAUGAACACAUGAAACGUGUUGUCAUAGUAGAUACAUCUAAUGAGAUUGGAGGUGAUGGGGAUGUACCUCAUUCAGGAAUCGGUCGUGCUAGGAGAAUGCAAGUUCCAAAUGUUAGCAUGCAGCACGAUGUAAGAACUACUAUAUGUUACUUUUUCUUCAGUUAAGAAAUUGACAUUCUGAAGAUCUCAUGCACCGGAAGGACUACUAUUUGUUUGUCAAUGUACAUAUCCUGAUCUUAUAUGUGUGAUGCCUCUCCAGGUCAUGAUUGAAGCAGUUGAAAAUCAUAUGCCAGAAGUCAUUAUAAUUGAUGAAAUUGGGACAGAACCUGAAGCAAUGGCAGCAAGUACCAUUGCUCAAAGAGGUGUGCAGCUUGUUGGAACAGCUCACGGAGUAACAAUUGAGAGCAUAAUAAAAAAUCCUUGCCUACAGGCACUUGUUGGUGGGAUAGAGGUAUAAAUUAUUUCUCUCCAUUCACCAUUUUGCGUUGCUGCGAAGCUGAUGAUAUUCUUCUCUAUGCUUGAGUUAUCUAUUUGCUUCAAUACUUUGUGCAUUGGUUUGAUCAGCUUUCACCUUAUUUUUCCAUUGAUCUUGAAAAACUGAAAAUUUUGUGAUUGGACAUUCGGGAAGUUCCUUGAUAGAUAAAUUGUGUAAUUUGAUUAGACCAGAUUGUCAACUACCUAGUUUAGAAUUUGUAAUCAAUACACCUGCCUUAUGCAUGCACCAUAUGGGAAAAUCUUGUUGGACAUCUGAAUAGAGAGGAAUUUAGUAUCUUGGAAGGGAAAAGCUGAGAGUCGUUGGAUUCUUUUGUGUAUGUACUUGUAGUAGGUCAGAUCACGAUUAAUAGUGGCUACACAAAGGUGUAACCCAGUAGCGUAUCCAGAUCACAAAAGGCCCAAUUUGCCUGCUACACCAGCCCAUCCCCAUUAUGAAUGGCCUAUUUUGCCAUUAUUACCUGAAACUGACUCAAAUCUCUGUGUUCUUUCAUGGUGUGAUUGAUAUCAACACAUACUUGGACAUACAUUAAAAUAAUUUGCGUGUAUUUUGGACUCUAGUAUUUCUCUAUGCAUGUGUUAUAAAUUACCACAUGCAUAAUUAUCUUUCAAUUGCUGUAUUUUCAGAUGCUGGCCAGUCUAGAUUUUUUGCCUAUGACAUCAGGCGCCAUCGCUGCUUGAUUUUACUAAUAUUGUGAUGAUUCAACUAUGAAAUCAUGAAUUUAUUCUUUGAAGAGCACAGUUUGAAGAAAUAUCCAUAUCACUUAAAUUGUAUAAGCAUUAAGUUUUUUGAAGUUAUCUAUUUGCAGAGUGUUACACUUGGUGAUGAGGAGGCUAGAAAAAGGAAAGUGCAGAAAACAAUACUUGAAAGGAAAGGACCACCCACAUUUACUUGUGCUGUUGAGAUGAUAUCCAAAACUGAGUGCCGAGUUCAUCACAAACUGGAAGCAACUGUAGAUGCUAUUCUUGCAGGUAUUUAGUUAUUUUCUUAUACAAAAUUGUGAACCAUUAUCCGUAUAGUGGUGCCUGUUUGAAAAUAUAAUCAGUUUUUACCAUUUGAGAAGAUGAAAUUAAUUCAAGUGCUUGUACGAAAACAGGGAAAUCUCCUCUCCUUGAAGUACGUAAGAUGGAUUCAAAAGACGGUGAUUUAAGGAGUGCUUUUCCAGUGCUUGGAAAGUAUCAUGAAGAGGAACCUUUUAUUAGUUGUAAAAAUGACUCUUCCAUGGAGAUGAGGCCUCCUAAAGAUGAUGCUAAUAAUAAUGCUGGAUACAACAAGAAAGUAAGAAGUAAUUCAUCUAUGCCAAGGAGAUUACCAGUUCGCGUAUAUACUUAUAAGGUACAUAUCAAACUCAGUUCUAUAUUGUGAAAUAUUUCAGAAUUUGUGGGAAAGUUCAUGCAUCUUAACUGUGCUUUUGCAUUCACAUGCUAUGGUUCAUUCCAAAAGAAGGUUAUGUCCUCGUACUCACUUUGGCUUGAACCACUAGUCCUCCAAUAAAAAGAGUGAUGUAGAAAGAACUCAACUACUUCUUAUCACAUAAUUGCUUAUUGUGGUGCGAGUCCUGGUAUGCCCCUAACUCAGUGACAAGCUUCAAGUGCCUCCUGUACCACUUCCAUCCAAUUUCAUUUCAUAUUCUUAAAUUUGAGACUUCCUUCUUGUCAGCUGUGACUCUUAGUUCGCAUGACCAAACAUCUCCUUUUAAUCAUGUAUAAUAAGAAAUCUCUCUGACAUGAUAAGCAGUGACUACUUUUAUAUCCCAAGCACUGUCCUCAUUUGUUGUAGGCAUCUCCCUUGGUGGUAACAUUGCCAUUUAAAGUGAAUCUCCGAAUGGCCAUUCUCACAGCUUAUUGGAAGCAAUUUGAUUUAUCUACUUCACCACAUUGUUCCUUUAUUGUUUGCUGAAUGGCUACAUGAAAUAAAUUAUAGUUAGAGAUGUUGAUUCGAUCAGAUUAAUUGAUGUAAAAUUUAACUUCAUGUGGUGGCUCUUAUGUCUGUAUUGGUCCUCUAUUAGAUCUUGGAAGCUGAUCUACUGCAAGUAGCAACUGUCAUGGGGUAUGAGGAUGACAUUGAUGUGACUGAUGACAUUGGAACAGCAACUGCGAUUCUAGCAUCAACUUCUGAAAUGAAGCAAAAUCCUUGGAUUCGCAGUGUUGCGAAAUUCCAUCAGCUGCCUAUAUUUGUGAUUAAGGUAAUUGAUCUCAUUGUUUGAUUCUCCUGGUUUGCCUGUAUUCUUAUGGUCCUUUGUUUUUACUUACAGGAGAAUACUAUGGCCCAAAUGGUGAAGGCAGUUAAAAUGAUUCUUGGGAUGAAUAAUUUUGGAUCUACACAAAAUGAAUCAACCAAACAUAUGCAUAAGGACAUUGAGGUCAAAGAUGAUGCACCUAUGAGAAAACCUACCUUGGAGGAAAUUGAUGCAUUGGAGGUAUGUGCAUCAUAUCAUGAAAACCUUGUACAUGCUACAUUGUCCACAUUUUCCAUCAUCACAAACUAAUGUCUUAGAUCAUUUUGCAUGAAAUGUAAUACAACUUUAGUUUGGAAUUUUUAUGUUUUGCACCUCUAUGUACUUGCUCGUAUAAAAUAAUCUGUAUUCGUAGAUCAGUCCGAACCUGAUGUUAGGAUGGUGAAUAACUUGGCUUAGAUUUAGAUGAGGUGCCUAAUAUAUCAUGAUCAACAAACAGCAAAUUAUCAUGGCAAUGUUCAUUAGGUGUAUUAUUCUAUAUUAGAUUAAUAUCAAGUAUCAAUGGCUGCGAGGGAUAGGCAUGUGUGCAAAUUUGAUUAACCAGAUAUAAACUUUCUGGAACAGCAUAAGGUUUUCUUUCGUUUCCAGUUUCCAGUUUCCUGCAGUUGCACUUCGGUCUUCAUACUUGAUUCAUAGUUGCUUAACAAAUAUAUACACUGCUGAAUGUAGGAGGUCCGAAUGGCUAUCGAGUAUAUCGUAAUUCCCGGUGGAGAGCCCGUCGAACUCCUUCCGAGAUGCUCAGAGAUAAUUGCUCGUCAGCUGGAGCUUGUGGAGAGCUAUCAAUUAGCCGCAAAGAGAUCAGGCACCGAGCUGAACUCCAGGUUGCAGAUUCUUCCGGUGAAGCUAAGUAAGAAAAGCUUGCCCGCUAAGGGCGAUAGAUCAGAAUCGAUCGAGCAAGUCGACCUAAAUGAUCUAACCAGUUUGAAUGUGGGUUCUAGAGUUACUCGCCUGCCCCUUUUGCCUGAUCAUUAGGGACUCUCAUCAAAAUGUACAUGUUAGUUUGUGUCAUGUCUUGUACAGCAAUGUAAAUUAUUAUACACAUCCUCAACAGCAAACGUGAUUCAUGUCAUUCUUUCAAUGGAAAAAUAAUUAUUAAAAUAAGUUUGUCUCAUGUCAGUAUUUCACACAAUGAUACCUUGUUGUUCAUACAGUCAGCAAGUCAAGAAAAAAAAAGUGAAGUUUUGGUGAUCUUUCUUAUGUUCCUCAAAUACUAUACAGCCGGCGACUUGGGAGUCCCGGCGCUGAAUAUCAGUUCUUGGUCUGUAUUUUUUGAAAUACAGUCCAAAAAGAUGAUGACUUUUUGAAAUAAUAAUAAUACUGAGACCAAAAAGAAAAAAAAAAUGGUCAGAGAGAGAUGAAGCAUCCUCAAAUCAUGUGUUCUUUUAACUCUACAUGCAUACAGGAAAAAGUUUCAACAUCAACAUAAACAGAGGCACCCUUCAAUCAUCGAGAUCAAACUCGCUUCCAGCUAAACACGACAACAAUCUGAGAACAGAAAAAAGUGAUAGAGCGACAACUAGUGAACUAUUAUUAUUGCUCAAAAUGGGGAAUUUACUGCAGAUUCUACAAUACAUAUUCUAUGAUGCAAACCUGAAUAAUCACUCAGAUCAGAUGACACUUAAUGGUUCCCCACUAGGCAUUUGACUGUAAGAAACAUAUACCACGAUAUAUGUACAUGAAACCGACCAUGCGAAGUACUAUACAACGCAAACACUAGUAAAAGCAUCAGUCACCAACCUUAAACAUGCAUACUACUCUACAAUCUUCUGAAGGAACUUGAGUCUGACACAUCAUCUGCGUCGUCGUUUGGGAUCCACCUGCUCAUAAAUGAAAUUCUUUUAACUUGACGCAGGUUGAACAAAUAUUACUCAACAAGCUCAAUGGAUAAACACAAUGGAUGUAAAAUAAGUUAAAGAACUAAAUAAUGUACUUAAUCAUGAAAGCUGAAAAUGUAAGUCUAAGGUGCUUGGCACCCACAACACACAAAACACCAGAGAAGAAAGUCAUAAAACUGAAAAUUAUUUUGUACCAUAUAGCACCAUUUUUUAGGCAAGGUAAUGGCGCAUGAUUGCCCAUACUAUGAUGAUGGACAUAGAAGAGGCUUGAGUUUCGGAAGAAAUUCAAAUAAGUCUUCCACAUCUUCUGGAAGGCUUGGGACUCGCAAGUUAAACCAGUAAUGUUAGUAGAAAUGCAUCAAAAUUGAGACCAUCGUUUUCUAUAAAAAAUUGAAGAAACUUACUACUUCUGUAGACACUUGGAUCUGGAAUAUCUUAUGUAGGCAUCUCUAAAUGUUGCGACAUUAUCUCAUUAGGUAUUGGUGCUGCUUAAUCAUGAAUGAUCUAAAAUAUGGGCAUCAAACUGUUAUGGAUGUCCUUGCUAAGUUAAUCUUACCAUGUGUUAUAUCACAAUACUAUAUACUUGUAAAUAUUAACUUCCUGUGAAGUGCAGAUGAGAAAAUAGGUCAACACAUGCACUCUACUGAAAUCAGUUACCUUCAUAUCUGAUUGCUUUGAACCAUUAUGGGAUUUUUCUGUCUCCUUCCCAUUUUCAGUUGUGCAACUCUGACAAAAGAAGUGCUCAAUUUUCUUAGCAUCCUCAACAGCCAUAUCUAUGCAGGUAGGAUGGUACCUGGAACAGGGAGAAUACAGGAAUACCAUUGAUGUUUUAAGAUCUACAAACACGAAAUGAUAGUUCUUGUAGCAUGUAUAAGUCACAUGAAAAGAAAUGGAUCAAUCAAGAAUAUGAAAAUCUUUACUACACAAAAGAGCAUGAAAGGUAACAAAAUAUUUUGGGUGGCAACUCGUAUUUAGCAGUGUAACAGAACUAAACUCAAGCUUUAUUCAAGUAAAAGUUCACAUACCAAUUGACUCCUCGCUAAACUCGAGCUCUUUAAUAUAGGUUUAUUUUAGCGUCUGUUGUUAGAUUUCAAAGUCAAAGUAACAAGGAAAUUGUUACAUAUAAUGAUUGAUGAAAUUAUCUUGAUAACAACAUUAACAAUUUAUUCUAACCAAACACAUAUAAUGAUUCAUACUUGUUAUAAGCACAAACAUGUGUAUUCAAUCUUGCUCUCAUUUUCUAAUUGUCAUUUACAGCUGUUGGUAGCACAUCACGAUGAGGCCAAACAAUUUCUAUCAAUCAGAUUAUGAUCCCUCCAAAAAGUAAAUACAUUGUAGGAAUUUUCACCUCAUAGUAACUCCAGAAGAAUUGUCUUAAAAUAUGGCAUUGGCAAAAGGCAGAUUAAAUUAAAAAUAGAGAAAGGCCACUUAUAAUUCCUCCAUAACUCUGGAUGUUAAGUAUUACUUCAAAAGCAUUACUUCAAUAGAUUUAUCUCACUUCCCCUAUGAGUAGGACAAAUGGAUUUGGAAACCUAACUCAAAAGGACAACCAUCAACUAGAUCUACACUCUUUCUUGAUUCACCAACAUGCCAAUUAUAGAGAGGAGAACAUUGAUUGGAAGUCCUUACAGAAGAUUCAUGUUAUACUCAGUGUGUUGUGUUUUUGUUGGAAACUUUUGAAUGGUCAGUGGCCUCAGUUGUCUACUUCAAGAUUUCUUGCUUGAGCAACUAUCGUUGAAUCUAGGGUGUGCUUUCUAUGUAACCUUGAAAGUGAUGAUCUAAUUCAUAUUUCAUUAUAUCGAAGAUUUGUUUGCUAAAUUUAUUUGGUCCUUUCUAGAAUGUAAUUUGUUUUAAUCAAGUAAUAUAAUUUUUCCCUUUCCUUGGAAAGGAAAAGUAACACUAUAAAGAUGAUCAAUAUUAACAAAGCAACUUACCAAUCAUAGCAGCCCUCACACUGAAUCAUAAGGUCAUCGGGGUUGUAAGGCAUCUCACACUUGCAGAACCUGAGACAGAAAUUGAUGAUUAAAUAAUCAACUGAUGAUGAUAACAGCAGCAACAACAACAAACCAUAAUGUCCCAAUUUUUCCAUGUUAUAACAUUAUCUGAAUCAUUUAACAGGGCAAGAUAUGCUAGACGAACUAUGUUUUAGUUAUUAGUUGUUAUGAUAAUAAAUGAGAGGAUAUCCCUUUCUAAAUUUUUUAAAGACAAACUGCCAUACAUAUGAAAACAUAACCAAGUAUUAUAAUUUAAGAACAACAAAGGUUAGUAGAAAAUGAUAAUACUUGUGAUGUUAAACCUACAAUAAUUGUGACAACAAAGCAGUUAAACAGAUCAUUUCCCAAGAUAAAGUCCAAACAGGCCCCAAUACAAACAAAGUUGAGGUCUAGAGUUUCAAAGCACUUCAAGCCAAGGAUCGUAGUUUCGUACCGUACCGGAGUUUCGAGCGUAGCUCGAUAUGGUAUGGUACAGAGUACCAAGCAGUACACCAAGGUGUAUCACUCGGCGUGUGUGUGUGUAUAUAUAUAAGUAAAAAAAAAAGACGACGUCGCCUCCUUUUUCUGCCCGCGUGGGGAGAAGAAACCGAGGUUUCCUUCUCCCCACACAAAAAAGGGCGCAAGGCGACGAUGUCGCCGCCUCGUUUCUUCUGCCUGCAUGGGGAGAAGAAACAUCUCCUUGACGACACUUCGUUUCUUCUCCCCGCGACGUCGCCGAGGCUUCUUCUCCCUACGCGGAUGAGGAGAAGCCGCUUACAACGCCGAGGCCUCGUUGCCUCAGACGAGGAGGAGGCAACAUCUCAUUUGUGGCGUCCGGCGACGGAUCGGGAUCGUCGAUGGAGAGCGGUGUCGGAUCUCCAAGUUCUCCCUCUUCUUUCUUCUCCCUCGGCUAAUACCACCUGGGAGCGGGUGGCAACAGUCGAAAUCGACCGUUACCGACCGAUUUAGGGUGGUAACGGGGCGAAAGCAGCCCCAAUCAAUGGUACCGUCAGGUAGCGUACCGAUCUGCUGGCAGACUGGUACGUAUCGCUCGGUACGGGAGAUAUUAUUUGAAAUUAAAAUCCUUGCUUCAAGCAAAUUUUAUCCAAUCUACAUGCACCAACAUGCAUGCGAUGAUGUCAAGUUAAUCGAGAUUCUACAUAGCUUUACAAUUGUUUUUUCAUCACAAAUGCUCCAAAACAAAGUACACCUGUGGAACUUAUAGGAAAUAUCUGACUAACAAUGUUAACCCAAAACAACACAAUGGCACCUAGCAGUAAAAGCAGUUAGAAAAGAAAUUUUCUAGAUAUUCUAACAAUAAGCAAGAUAGGUACGGAGAUAUUUUGUUGCCAAGUCUCACUUAAAACUUAUAUGGAGGUAAAUAACUAAUGAAGCUCAUUAUCUGCCUACCUUGGUCACAUAAUUACGUUGGAUAAGAACCAAUAAGAUCAUGAACUAAGUUUUCGACAUAAUGUUAAAUUAAUAACUAGAGACUUUUUUCUUGUAAAUAAUAUAAAAAAUAAAAGUUAUGCAAGGGCCAUACAUAUGAGAAAUUUGGUUAGGUAUAGUCUUCAAAAAAUUAAGGUAACGAUAAUAUCUAAAUAACAGAACCAUCAAACCAAUACCGGAGGAUCAUGAUAUGUUCAAAAUAUUUGGUUUUACCUCACUUUCAUUAAUGUAAGUGAAUAGAUAUUUUGCCUCAUCUUCACUUGUCUUUUACCAAUAAGUAAAAGGGGAAACCCGAUCCACAAACCUCCCAUCAUUACAAGAUCUAGGGAGAGUCAAUAUACCCAAACUUGGUCCUAUAAGUAAAUAGACCAUUUUUGUUUUUUUUUUUUGUUUUACCAAGAAAUCAAUUCUAUCAUAUAUUCAACAGUUCAUAUGUUGGAAGAGGAUCCAAUACUAUCUCUAGUAGGUAUAUAUUUUAUGAAGAAGUGUAUUCUAUGAAAUAAUUAACACAACCAUUGAUCUAAUGCUGUAAAAGGAUCAUAUGUUUCAAGUAUAAUGAGCCUUCUUGGCCAUCAGUAGCUAAAAGCUUUAAGUUUUCUUAGAAUGGGUAAUGAGUCUUAGAGCUUUUGGAAAAGAAUUCUAUGAUUCCACUGAUUUGUUUUUAUUUUACAUUGAUUAUAAACAGGAGAACAGAACUACUCAAAGGAAAAGUGAAAAUGGAAAGGAGGGACAUGUCAAACAUACAAAAUGCUGGGAAAAAUGAAAAUAAGAGAUGGAUGCAGAUAAUGCAUUGUCGACCCUCUCUCAGAAACAGCAUUUGAUCUUUAUAUCAAAAUUGUCAAAGUAUAUACAGAUAUUUCCUUCUUAUUCCUUCCUUUUUUUUGGCCAAUCAUUUAAACAAUUUUAAGAUGUAAACACGUUUAAUUCCAUUAUUAAUAAAUUGGUGCUGAACUCCAGUUCUGUUUCAACUAAAAGUAUACCAAGGCUGAUAAUAUUUUCAAUUCCAAAUUGAUCAUAAUUUACAACAUCUAAAUAAUCAAGUCAAAGCUUAUUAACCAAAUAAUUACCAAAUAAACACAGCCACACCCAAAUUGCUGGACUACUUUGUAGGUAAUUGUGUAAUGUAGCCAGAUCAAAUAAAUUAGCUUGUUCUUUUGAGCCAAAAUUAGAAGCCCAACAUUAAUAAAGUCUUUCUAGAAAAAAAGAUUAGUGCUUAAAUAAUCUUAAAUAGAAUGGUGUUUAGUUUAUGGAACUAAGUGUUAACCAGCAUAACAAAUACAUAAGUUGCUUGUAUGUACAGAUAUAUUUGAUAGAUAACUAAAGGUGUGGAUCCACAUACAAAUAGGAGAAUAAAGCAACAAUGCUAUAUCGUAUACAAAUAGUUCAAAAUCUUUGAAACACCAAAUGGCCACCUUUAUGAACCACAAAUCCAGUAAUGAUAAUAAUUGAUAGCAAAAGAGAUUGGAAAAUAGAAAAGUUUGACUGCCGCUCAAACAUCUUGCUUUUGGUUUUACUAACCUGAAUACACUAAUUCAGAUAUACACAACUUAAUGUUGAAUAUACAUCAUGUUGCUUAUAUCCACUGGAUCAUGCAACAGAAAAACAGACCACAAACAACUGGUACAGAAGAGCAACUAGGCUAAUACCAUACAGAAUAGGCAUAAGAUUAUUCAAACACAAAAUUAGGCGCAUCUUUGAACUACAACCUAUUAGAGAUAAUAUUUGUAAGAAAAACGAUUAGAGUUACAAAAAGCAAGAAAAUGUUGAACCACAGCUCAAACUUCUUACUAUGCCUUUAUUAACAUCUAUUUCUUUUGGUGAUAAUACUUGGAUGAAGUGGAGAGAAAGUAACUUUCUAGCAUUUAGUUGAAAAUUCUGGAGAGAAUUGACAUGAGAUAGACAGAACCAACUUUUGAAACCCCUUCCUUGAUUCUGUUAAAAAAUAAGUUGAAGUGAUAGUUUUGCUUCUCUUAUCUUCAUCCAAACAAUGAGAGAGAAAGUGAGCUUCUGUUCCCAUGUAUUCUUUUCUCUCUUUUCAGCCUCUUCUUUUCCCAGCUUUUUUCUUCUUUUAAUUUUCUCUUCUGCACAUUCAAGCUUAUAAGCUAAAACCAAAAUUUUAAAAGAGAAAUCUCCUAAAAAAAUUUUCUCCAAAAACUCGACAAAUUUGAUAUGGAAACAUAAUCAAAAUCCACAAGCACCAUUUAGAGGCUUCUCCAGGUACCCAAAAAUAAUAAUGAAGUUUUCAAGGCAUGAGAUCAAAAAUCAUGCUUGAAGUUGCGUACCAUAAAAAAGAAAAAUCUUUUAAAGAAUGAGAUAAAAAAUUCUCUCCGUUGCAUAUCAUCCAACUGUAAGAAUUCAGGUAUGCAUUCAUUGACCAAAUGCAUAUAGACCAAUAACAUAUAAAUCAAAUACCAAAGAACGGAAGAAGGUGAGAAUUCUGAAAGAGAUAUCACAUUCUUACACUGCGAUUCUAUCUGGGACAAAGCUCCCAGUGGCGGACCUAUACUCGAACCGACAGAAGAAGUCAUCGUUCCCAACAGCAUCGAGCCUGGUAUAGUUCUUGAAGCUGUGCACGAAGCACUUGCCCUCGAUGGUGUCGGCGCUCUGCACGUCGUAGUGGUCCGACAAAAACACCUCCUUGGCGCCGUGGAACUGACGCCGCCCACCGAUGGACUCCUCCGGCCGAUAAUACCACCUCACCCUCACCUUCACCCCGCCCCGCCCGCCCGCCUCGAUGCCCUCCACCCUCGCCACGUACGGCGGAUUCGACGAGUCCGGCGCCCGCAUCAGCACACAGUCGCCGGCUGGCAAAAACCCGUCGGAAUCGCAAGAGUUUAAGCCGAAUUAGCACCAGAAAACGAGCAAGAAAAGAUCAUAAACCGCGUCCUUCUGAAGGGGAUCGAAGGGGGAGAGAGGAAUUACGCUUGAUCGAUUUGUUGGUCCCUUUGAUCGUGUAGGAAUCGAGGGUUCGCUUCCCCUGCCGCGUCUUGGCCAUCGGGAGGAGACGAAAGGCGAGACACCGAGUAGAGAAAAAUAGUAUUAGAAAGAGCUAAUAAAUAAAAUAUUAAAAAAAGAUUCGAGAAUUUUCCACACAAAAUAAUAAUAAUAAUAAUAACGUUAGCGAGAAAAGUACUCAUAAAAUGUUUAUGCGAUACAACCAACGAACGGACGAGAUUUCUUUAAAUGAUAAAAUGAACGGUGGAUCUAUCGGUAACGAUUGUUUAAUGCAUUCCGAAGGUUUAUCUUGUACUCGAAACAUUGUCCACCGUAUAAAUCACAGAGAUGAUGCAUUUUAGACCGUCGGAUUGAUGAUGGGUUUUGUUCCACCGGGUUGAUUUUGUGCAUUUACUUUGCCUCUUAAUUAAUAUAGAAAAAGGCUUUUCUAAUAUUGAUUCACUUUAUUAUUAUUCUUUUGAUAGUCAAUCAUUUUUGUAAUUAAUUCACUUAAAUAUCUCUCUUUUUAUUUCUUGAUCAAAAUCCUACAAAUAAUAAAAAACACAUGCAUUGAAUUUUGAGUUUAAUGGUUUGACUUAGUCGAGGAAUGCGAGACCGAUCGACUAGACGAGAUGAAAAAGGUCAAAGAUACGUGAUCGAUGAUUUGACAUGCGGCACUCUUCUCCUGCACAAUUUAGUCUGCAUAAGAUUGACUUGGACACAGGUACUAUAAUUCAUGAAUAUUAUGAUGUUCCCUAUAUACAUAUAUAUAUAUUAUGCAUUUCAUUUUAAGAAGAUAUAAUCCUUUACCAUUCAGGAAUAAUGAUGACAGCUUCAUGAUGAUUACCUUAGUUUGCUAUUACCAACUUGUGUUUAUCAUCAUAUACCAAAACCAGUUCUGAGUGAAGAUUCCUCUCCUUGAUUGAACUGUUUUACCUAUUACUACAUCACCACUUCAACUGUAAUAAGCUUGUCUAUUUUUCUAAGAUUUACAUUAGAUUGAUAAUGUUCAAAGACUCUUUUUUUCUCUCUCUCUCUCUCCUGUUUAUGAGAAAGUGAGGAUAAGACCAAGUUUUUUGUGUUUUUGUCAGCUCUGUAGCUAAAUAAUCCACCCAAGAAGGAAAUUUUCAUGGUAUUGGUGAAUAACUUGAGUCAUAGACAUUUAAUCCUGGCUUCAUUAUAAGACUUUAUGCUGCAAACAGAGGGUUGGACCUGCAACAAUGGCUAGUAGUUGUCAGUCUUUGAUCAGUACUGUUCAUCCUCUGUAUCAGAACUACUCAUGUUGCAGAUAAUGACACUUGAAGCUUCUGCCAAAAAGUCAGACCCUCUUUCUCAAGAAAACUCAUUGUCAUGCUGCACUGGAACAGAUAAGAGAAAGGAGUGAACCAACCACUUCUCACAUUCCUAUAUCUGCUCACACAUCCACCUGUUUGAUGUCCUAUUGCAAUAGAAGAGAUAUGAAUGCUGAACAGCUCUAUUCCAAAAUUAUCAAUCUAACAAAUAGAAAGAUAAUUAUUGAAAAAGGAAUUUUACAAAAGUUUUGCACUUUCAUCCUCCAAAGUCAAAGUUAGAUCCUUCCUCAAAGAUGGAUGUCUUGCUUUCCAUACAAUUUGUAACAUCCUAAACUUAAUCCCAUGUCAAAUGUGAGAGAUUUAAGUUGAUCUAUGAGGAUCACUAAAUGAUCGAGUAUCAUUAACUUAGGCUUAAAAGAUUUUAAGUAUAGAUUUACUAAGUUAAUUAAAUAAUUAUCAUGCCGAUCGUAUUAAGAUAAAUGAUAUAAAAAAAGGACAUGACAUAGAGUAGAAGUAUAUGCAUGAUACUGGUUGCGUUUAGACGUUGAUUACUAUAUCAAAUAUUAAGAGAGGAAGAUUGCAAAGUUCUCUGAGUCAAAAAUAAUUUAAGGAUAAUUAUAGAUUAUCCAUUAUAAUUAGAUAUCAUUAAUAUUUUGAUAUUUAGACUUAAAAAAUUUAUAUUCGAAUACCUAUAGUCUAUUUAUCCUACCGUCAUCAUUCUUAUUGAUAGAAAUAUGAAAAUAAUAAAUAAAAAGAUAAUUUUAAUAUUUUAGUUGAUGAUGACAGAUGACAUCAAUGAUGACAGAUGACGAGUGGCGAAAGGACCACUCGGUAUUUGCAUUGACAAUGACAUAAAUGCAAACCGAUCCUUUUAUCGAUCGAUAACUAUAUCGAUAUAGAUAUAGAACAACUCUCGUCUCUUAUCGUCACUCUCCUUAUCUACAGCAACUACCCACGUAAACAUAUUAAAAGCAGUAAACAAGUAAGGAGGUUUGUAGUAAGAUAAAUUAUACAAAAGAAAUGCAAACCAGAUUUUUAUUGUGGUUCGAUCGUCGUGACCUACAUCCACUCCGUCGAUUCCUCUUCCAUCGAGGUCACCGGCAUCCACUAUCGAUCUUCCUCUAAUAGGGAAGAUCAAUCUCCUUCUUACACCCCUUUUCUCCUUUUCACAGGUUUAAGAGUCAACCUUUACAAGAACUCACUCAUCUCUUAAACUAUUUUAACACUUAGACUAGAAGAGAAGGAUUCUCACAAGAGAUUACAACAGUAUUUUUCCUUGUUUAAAUUCUCUGUGCUUGUGUAAGUUAACCAGGGAUGAGAGGGAUAUUUACAAGCUUUAAGUUGAUUCAAACUUAGAGCCUAAAAAGGUCUCAUGCUCACCAUCACUUGAGCUUAUGCUCGAGUGGUCUUCAAUUGUUCCAAGUCUGAAAUCCUUCCUUGGAAGUUUGUCCUCAAGUUCGUUUUGUGUAUUGUGCGUAAUUUCAUAUGCCAUUAAUGAACCAAUUAGUUCUUCAAGUGAAAAAUUAUUAAGAUCUUUUGCCUCUUGUAUUAUGGUUACUUUCGGAUCCCAACUCUUAUUAAGAGAACGUAAAAUUUUGUUUACAAGUUCAAAAUCUGAAAAACUUCUACCAAGUGUUUUUAAACCAUUGACGAUAUCCGUAAAACGAGUGUACAUGUCUCCAAUGGUUUCACUUGGUUUCAUAUGAAACAAUUCAAAAUCAUGCAUCAAAAAGUUGAUUUUCAACUUUGCUGGUGCCUUCAUGUAUGAUUUCAAGAGUAUGCCAAAUAUCGUGCAUAGUUUUGCAAAUAGAAACAUGAUUAAAUUCAUUUUUAUCUAAGGCGCAAAACAAAGCAUUCAUAGCUUUCACAUUUAAAGAAAAAUUCUUCUUCUCUAAAUCAUUCCAAUAGUUCAUUGGAAGAGAAGACCUUUGAAAUCCAUUUUCGAUAAUAUUUCAUAAAUCGAGAUUCAAUGAAAACAAGAAAACUCUCAUUUGAGUUUUUCAAUAUGUGGUCCGUCUCAUUGAACAAGGGAGGACAAAUGAGAGAGUGACCAUCUUAGGUGUUAAAUCAAAUGAGAAAUUAUGAGGCUUUAAUACCAACUGUUAGGAGGGGGGGGGGGGGAGGUGAAGUAGUGCAGCGAUAAAAAUCAUGGUUUUUGAAAUUUUGUUUCGUAUGGUAAAACCGAUUUCGAAAAUAUACUUAACUUGAAAGCGUGUUUGUAAAUGUAUUGAAAGUAGUAAGCAAGUAAGGAGGUUUGCAGUAAGAUAAAUUACACAAAAGAAACAUAAACCAGAUUUUUAUAGUGGUUCGAUCGUCGUGACUUACAUCCACUCCGUCGAUUCCUUUUCCAUUGAGGCCACCGACAUCCACUAUCGAUCUUCCUUUAAUAGGCGAAGAUCAACCUCCUUCUUAUACCCCUCUUCUUCUUUUCAUGGGUUUAGGAGACAACCUUUACAAGCACUCACUUCUCUCUCAAACUAUUCUAACACUUAGACUAGAAGAGGAGGAUUCUCACAAGAAAUUACAAUAGUGUUUUUCAUGAACUUUUUAAAUUUGAUAGUGAGGAGUUUAAGUUCACCAUCACUUGAGCUUAUGCUCGAGUGAUCUUCAAUUGUUUUAAGUCUGAAAUUCAUCCUGUUCUUUGGAAGGUUGUCCUCAAGUUCGUUUUGUGCAUUAUGCGCCAUUUCAUAUGUCAUUAAUGAACUAAUGAGUUCUUCAAGUGAAAAAUUAUUAAGAUCUUUUGCCUCUUGUAUUGCGAUAACUUUCGGAUCCCAACUCUUAUUAAGAGAACGUAAAAUUUUGUUUACAAGUUUAAAAUAAAAAAAACUUCUACCAAGUACUUUUAAACCAUUGAUGACAUCCGUAAAACGGGUGUACAUGUCUCCAAUAGUUUCACUUGGUUUUAUAUGAAACAAUUCAAAAUUAUGCAUCAAAAAGUUGAUUUUCGAAUCUUUAACUUUGCUAGUGCCUUGAUGUGUGAUUUCAAGAGUAUGCCAAAUAUCGUGCAUAGUUUCACAAAUAGAAAUACGAUUAAAUUCAUUUUUGUCUAAGGCAUAAAAUAAAGCAUGCAUAGCUUUCGCAUUUAAAGAAAAAGUCAUCUUCUCCAAAUCAUUCCAAUGGUUCAUUGGAAGAGAAGACUUUUGAAAUCCAUUUUCGAUAAUAUUACAUAAAUCAAGAUUCAACGAAAGCAAGAAAACUCUUUUUCCAAUAUGUGUAGUCCGUCUCAUUGAACAAGGGAGGACGAAUGAGAGAGUGACCCUCUUGAAAGCCGAAAAGAGCAAUUUCUCUUGGGUGUUAAACCAAAUAAGAAAUUACAAGGCACUGAUACCAACUGUUAGGAACGAGUCGGCACUAAGAGGGGGGGGGUGAAUUAGUGCAACGAUAAAAAUCAUGAUUUUUAAAAUUUUGUUUCGUACGGUAAAAUUGAUUUCGAAAAUAUGCUUAACUCGAAAGUGUGUUCGUAAACGAAUUGAAAGUAAUAAGUAAGUAAAGAGGUUUACAGUAAGAUAAAUUAUACAAAAGAAACACAAACCAGAUUUUUAUAAUGGUUCGGUUGUCGUGACCUACAUCCACUCCACCGAUUCUUCUUCCGUCAAGGCCGCCGAUAUCCACUAUCGAACUUCCUUUAAUAUGCAAAGAUCAACCACCUUCUUACACCCCUCUUCUCCUUUUCAUAGGUUUAGGAGACAACCUUUACAAGCACUCACUUCUCUUUCAAACUAUUCUAACACUUAGACUAGAAGAAGAGGAUUCUCACGAGAGAUUACAACAACGUUUUUCCCUUUUUAAAUUCUCUAUGCUCAUGUAAGUUAACCAGGGAUGAGAGGGGUUUUAUAAACUUCAAGUUGAUUCAAACUUGGAGCCUAAAAAAUGUCUCAUCCUAGGUUUCUUGGAUAAUGGCAGUACCACCGUCGUUACUGGGCGGUACUACCAUCGCCGGUUUGUCACUGGACGGUACCACCACUUGACAGGGGUAGUACCACCGCUAGUAGCAUUCAUUGCCGGUGGUACCACUACCCAGAAAUCUUGGGAUAUUGUCUCCCAUGUGAUGCCACCGUCGGUUGGGCUUUCAACAUCCUGGUUGGGCCUUAAAUUCGGCCCAAACCAGCCUAACUUCGAGCCCAAUUGGCCCCUAACAAAGUUGAUGGGAUUACCUCUCAAAUCACACUCUAAUUAUAUUGUAACUAUGAUUCUUAAUAUAUAUCCUAAGCAAAUCAAGUCCGGUUAAUCUUGAUUUCUUCCGGCAAGCUUCCGACGAACUUCUAGUGAGCUUCUAACGAACUUCCAGCGAACUUCCGAUGAUCUCUCGGCAAUAUUCUAGUGAACUCCCGGUAAGCUCCUGGACUUUAUGACGAUCUUCUUGGUUAGUUCCGACGAGCUUCUUUGGCAAGCUCCAGGACUUCUCGGUCAAUUUCGGCAGAACUUCCGACGAACAUCCGGAUUUCCGACAAACUCUCGAACUCCCAACGAAAUCACGUUCUUGAUUCCGGGACUUCAUUUUGCUUUAUGCCUUGCUAUCGUAGUUAAUCCUACACACAUAAAACACACUUCGAUCUAAACAAUUAUUACUAAGCAUGAAUCAUAUUGUCCGACAUGUCAUUGGUCCAUCGACGCUUCGUCCGAUUCUCCAGUGCAUCGUCCUCUCUUGCGGCCUAUUGCACAAUUGGCCAGUUGACCUCCCCAACUCCGAUAUCCUUGACGCAAUAUUUGCUCUUCUUGGCCCAAUGCCCGAAUCCAUGGAUCGAAGCUUUCUACCGAUAUGUCGACCGAUCCUUUAGUGCAACGUCCAAUCUUCUGACAUGUUUUCUUCCGACCCAACAUGAUUCUUCUUGCUUUAAUUAUCUCUCCCUGAUUGAAGCAUCAUACGUCACUCAAAACGUAGAUCAAUCAUAAACACUUAUCAAUUGUUUCAUCAUCAAAAUCCGAGAUUCAACACUUUUUUCACGUUGAUUCAUAUUUUUGUUAAUAAAACUGAUAAUAUUAAGAUAAAUGAACCUACUUAUUUUACUUUUAUAAUUAUAAGAAUUCUAAUAUAAAUAUUUUAAAUCUAAGGAUCAAAAUAUAAAUGAGGUCUAAUUGCAUAAAAUAAUAUAUAAUUAGCUCAAUAAUUAACUUAAAUUAAAUUAUUUAUACUCAUCAAAUUAAUAAAUUAAUUAUUCUAUCAAAUUGAAUCGUGAUGAUUUAUAUAUUUUAUUCAGAAAUAUGUAACAUAAGAACAGUGAUGAAAUAAAACAUCGAUCCAAAUUAGAUUGAGAAUUUUUAGUAUAAAAUGUUAUUUUGAAAUAUACACAAUUUUAGAAGAAUCGUAUAAUAUCUCACAAUGAAAGCGCAUCAUCACUCUUGCCGAGGCGCAGAAACGAACGCCGGCUUAUACUACCCCCCUUUUCUGUGUCCGCCACUGCCGCCGAAUCAUGACCAGUUCUUCGGGUCCUUCUCGCAAGGUUCUUUCUCUCCUUCCCCUCCUCCUUCUCCCAAUCUCUAUGUAUGAUCCUGUCCGAUCCGCGAUCACCAAAAUUCCCCCUUCCUCCUCUUUUCCCUCUUCGCAUGGCACCGGAACUAACCUAAUUUGGUCGAUCGUUUCGCAGUCUCUGAGCAAGAUCGCGUGCAACAGGCUCCAGAAGGAACUGGCGGAGUGGCAGGUGAGCCCUCCGGCCGGCUUCAAGCACAAGGUCACCGAUAACCUCCAAAGGUUGCGUCUCGGGCCUUGUUCUUCCUUUUUUAAUCCCGUUCCUGGUUCCCUGGAUCUUAGUUUACUCGAAUUGCUUGUUUGUUUUGCUUAAAGAUGGGUCAUUGAAGUGGUUGGGGCGCCGGGGACUCUGUAUGCGAAUGAGACGUACCAGCUUCAGGUCGAUUUUCCGGAGCAUUACCCCAUGGAAGCCCCUCAAGUGAUGAAUUGCUAAGAUUUUUUUCAUAAAGGCUGCUUUUUUUUUAGUUUGUUGUGAUUUAUUUUGUGGCUAUUUGCUUUCAUCAGGUCAUAUUUCUUCAUCCUGCGCCUCUUCAUCCGCACAUCUAUAGCAACGGCCAUAUCUGUUUAGGUAGUUAUCAUAGCACUUGGUGGUAACCAAAAUUUUCACCUGAUAGUAAAUUUUAUUAAUUGUUAUUGCAAAUGUAGCUUCCUGUUGUCAAAAGGGUUAUUUUCUUAAAUGGACACCACUUCCUUUUAUUCUACCAGAAACUACUAAUUAAUUUAUUGGAAUUAUUGGAUCUUUGUAUUAGACUGGUGAUGAUUGUUGAGAAUAUUUCUUUGUUAUUUUCUUUCUUCAUUUAGUUACUGGUUUCUGAUUAAAACAACUUUUGGUUAUUCUGUAUGUGUUACAUCCUCUAUCUCUUGCCCGGUACAGGGAGCUUAUCGAGGAAUAUCAUGUUUAGGGAUCUAUAUUGUCAUAUUUAAUCCCCUUGUGGGUUUAGGUUGCACUGUAGUGCUUACUCAUUUUUUUGUUUGUUUUCCCAACAUUGCAUUAAUAAAUUCUGAGUGUUGUUAGGGAAAGUAGGUUGGUCAUCUGAGUAUAAUGCAGAUGGAUCCAACCUUGUUAAUUCAUUGAUGGUUGAUCAACCCAUGGAUGCCAGAGGUAGACAUCCAGCCAGCCCCUUCAAUACCCCAAGUGAUGCAAGGGAAUAGGGUUAAGGGGAAGAAGAGGGUUCUCGAGAGUGUACCUGGGGCUGAGGAACCUUCCUUUUUUUAAUGUGCAAAGAAAACACAACUAGGGUGCUGAUUGGGGGACACAUGUCUGAGUGAUCUACUUCAUUUUUCUUGUCAGGUGGAUAGGUCAUCCUAGGAGGUUGGUUCUUGAAGUUCAUGAAUUCACUUUGAUCCUUUGGAUGAUUCACAAGGCAAUGGUGGCAAAUUCUGUUAUGGCAUUGGAAAGACAUUUCACUUCUAAUUGUUCUGUAUGUAUGACACCAAUUAUUUUGAUAUUGGGCUUAAGACUGCCAUAUCAUCAGCUUCCCGCAUUUCUGAGGCCAAAGUUGCCCGGAAGAAAAGAGUAGACCAGUUUACACUUAUUAAUCAUCUUAGCCAAAUCUAGCUCAACUGAUUGGGUUAUGUGGGUGAUGCAUAUAUACAUAUGGUUCCUCCAACUGGCCAAUGACAAAAUGUCAUGUAUCAGGUGCCACAAGCGACAAACCUGCUCCACUUCUCCAACAUGUUGUCCACAAGCGCAAGUGCCUCCACUGCUACAACUCAACUGACAGAAACAUCCUGUGCACCACUAUUGUGAUAUGCUACCUCUAAUAGCUACUACUAUCAUGGCCAGUUCGACAUCUCCAACAUCCUUACGAUCAUGUGUCUAGCCUAUGACAAAAACAUGGCCAUCAAACGGUUUUAAUAUAAGAAAUGCAAAAUUGAUUCCCAUUCUGCCUAUAAUUAAACUUAUGUACUUUCCCCUUUUUCCAUUUUAGACCAUAACUAGAGCAUCAAAGGAGGACCAGAUAUACUUAAAAUGACUAAAGAUUUCAUAAAAUUAGCUACUAAAAGUAGCAAAGAAAAUGAAUAUAAAAAUAUUAGAAAAAUUAAAAGAUACAUCUACUGAGUAGGAGUUGGUCUAGGUCAACUUAUUGUAACAACUUGCCUUGGCUUGAGUUGGAAAAACCAUUUCCCAUCCCUAUUUGCAUUUGACUUGGAAUUGUCUGCUCUUGUACAAAGUUGAAGUCUCUUUGCCUACUCCAAAACCAUGUAGUUCUUCUGUGACUGGAAUGUUGUCCCAAGCUAGAGAGCAAGCAUAUGAUGGCCAACAUGUAUUAUCUUUUUGCAUUCAUAUUUUUAGUGCAUACCCUUAAAUAUGUGUCAUUGAUGAUGCACUUUGGACGUUCAUGAAGAUAAAUAAUCAUGCUACAGACAUUGAAUUCUGUAUAUAUCAAGGCUAUAGUUGGGCAAACCUGUACUUGAAAUAUUUAGCUUGGAUUAAGCAAGUGAUUAAUGUUAUAUGGUCAUUCAUAUGAUCAAACAAUUAAUUAAUUUUGUAUAUACUUUCAUGAUCGCUGGGCAUAUCUUCAUAUCAUUUCUUCGAAGAAUAACACUGCUCAAAAACCAGUUUCAGUUAAGGGAUUAUUACAAUAUAAUUGAGAUCAACUUUCAAAACAUUGAUAGUUUAUCGUAAAAUCCUGGGCUCAAAUCCUGCUUUUGCCACUUACCCUUUGUAAAAAAAAAGAAAAAAUUCAAAACUUAUAUAUUUAACAAUGAUUUUCUGCUUAUAAUACACGCUAGAAGGUACUUUGUUGAAAUUGCAUGUCAACCGGAUAACUGAAUUAUUUGCAUUGAACAUGAACAAUUUGAUAUGGAGUAGUGAAUAUGAACAUGCUUUGAUCUGUAACAUGAAUCAGACUGGUUUCUGCUGUGAGAGACAUUUUUGUUUCCAAUGAUGGUACAGAACAAAUAGAACUUUGAACAUAGACGAAAAAUAAUUAUGAAAAGUCAAUUCAUUUCUAGGAAGAGUGCAUCAGGAGAAGUUAGAGUUUAAACAGUCACAUGAAUUGUGAAUAAGUACAUUAGUGUAAUUAUGUUAUGGAAUAACUAGCUCAAUAUAUAUGUUUCUAUCAAAUAAAUAACUAGCAAAGUAAAUAGCACUAUGGGUCUGUCAGCCUUUUGGACAAAAGUUUACCAUGUUUCAUUUACUGUUUCAUUGAUAAUUUCCCUCCUUGAUGGUUCUUCUGUUGGCGGUGCCAGAUAUACUAUACGAUUCUUGGUCACCGGCAAUGACUGUCAGCUCGGUUUGCAUCAGCAUUCUGUCCAUGUUAUCAAGCUCAGCUGUUAAGGUACCCAUACUUUCCUGUGCUGCCAGUCACCUCCAUAUAUUUUUUGGUGUUAAGAUCAAAAUCAUUUUUUCUGGCUGCAGCAACGUCCUGCUGAUAACGACCGCUACGUGAAGAACUGCAGGAAUGGUAAGUCUCCAAAGGAGACUAGAUGGUGGUUCCAUGAUGACAAAGUAUGAUAACUGGUACUAAUGCUUCUCCUGUACCAUAUUUGACCACCCUUCUGAACUACCUGUCAUACUCCAUUUCCUAUAACAUAGGAGUAUCAGGUGAUCUAAAAUCAGGGGUUUAUAAGCUUACCAGUGUCAUGCUAUAGUAUAUUUGUAAAGGAAACAGUAAUAUUGAUCUUGACAUAUUAUGAGGACCAGAAGUACGUGGCCAACUUUUUUGGUCAAACAAUUGUGAAGUUAAUUUGAACUCCAUUCCUAAUGGAAUUACUUUUGGCACCAUAUCUGUCUCCUAAAGUUCCUACUUUUGAUAAAGAUGCUCUAUAUCAUAUGAUUUCAGUUCAGAUACCUGAGCAGUUACUUGUCAGCUUGUUAGCAAAAACUGAUAGAAUGAUACUGCUGUGUUGAUCUUGUUGGUUUAUGGCUUGGGAAUUCAAGUCCAAGGAGCACAUAUUGCUUUGGAUAAUUUUCCUUGCGUCAAUAUGGAAACCGGUUUUCUUUGUGAUCUGGGUUCAAAAUAGUUUCUUCGUUGCUAAAGGUUAAACUAUAUAUUUGUUAAGUUAUAUUUUGGUUAUGAAACAUGCAUAACAAUUCGAAGUCAAUGAAGGUUCUUAAUAAUGUAUGGUCACAGUGUUUAAAGAGAGAGGAGCCAGAGUUGAGAUCCGAUAAAAUUGUAUUAAGUAUAUAAAAUUGUAUUGGGCAUGAAAAUUAUAUCGGGUGCAUACCUAAUAAAUUUUUUUUAAUAUUUAAAUUAAUUUUUAUAAUAGUAUUAUAAUGAAUCUGCAUCUCAUGUCGAUCGAACGAUGAAGUGAAGAUGAUGUGUUCGAUUAAUGAUAUAUAAGUCCGAUGUUUGUUGGAUGAGAAUAAGAUGUCAUCGCCAUGCAGUGUCAUAAUCCCCAUAAUAUUAAUACAUUUUGAAAACCUCAUAAAAUCCACGUAAUCUCUUAUUAGGGCUCAACAUGACUUGGCACGGCCACCUCAUUAGGUCUGUCUUGGUCAAGCGGCAUUCCGAAUCUAAAUUGAUAUGGUGGUAGUUGGAGCCUUCUAUCAUACAAUUGACGUUACCACAAGCUGAUGCUCCACUUCUCUAAUUCUCUAAUUGGGUCCCACUAGCUGCAAUAACUCGUGGGGCGGGUAGCAGGUAAACGGGUACGUGAAAAGACGUCACUACAUGGCGACGACGGUCCGAUGCAACGCUCCAUUUAAUUCGUCACACCGACUCCGUCGUUGAUGAUUGCGGUCGGCCACCGCGACACCGCCUUCGGAGGCUUUCUCGUUGCGUCUCUAAUUUCGCGAGGGUUUAAUCUUCCCUUCCCGUUUUGGAGGUGGAUUCGAGAGGGAGGCUAGUUCUAGGGUUUUCAGAGCAUGGAGGGGGCGAGGAAUGGCGGUGGCAGGAGGAGGUGGCGGUGGGGUUGGGUCGUUGGGGCGCUGAUUGCCGUCCUCCUCGCCACGGCCGCGACCUCCAGGAACUCCCCCAGGAACCCGCUCUCCGGGAUCACCAGCAAGCUCUGCCAAUGCACCGUAAUCUUCUCUCCGCUUCCUUCCCUUGCAAAGAUCCGAUCUUGAUGUCCUUUUCCCUGAAAAUCGAUUCGAAAUGGAGUCUUGGUGAUUAUUAUGUCAAUUAAUUAGUCGAAAUUUGGGCUCAUUUUAUCAGGAGUCGAGGAAGUACACCGGCAUUGUGGAGGACUGUUGUUGUGACUACGAAACCGUAGAUUCCCUUAAUAAGGAAGUGUUACAUCCCAUACUACAGGAUCUUGUCACUACCCCGUUCUUUCGGUAUUUUAAGGUAACUGAUUGGUGGCUUUGAUUCUUUUAUGAAUUCUUGUAGUAUGUUUUUUUCAUAUCUUGUGAUUCGUUUUAUUGCUGUUGGUGAGAAUGGGCUUUAGGGAUGCAUAAGUAUUAGUCGUUUCAUAUAUUUAUGCAAGUGAAAAUUUUCAUAAUGAUAUGGAUUGAAUUGUCAUCAUUAAUAUGAUUAAGUCUCAAAAUUUGUUUUCCUUUUUUUCUUGAUCUGAUCAGAAAGGAAAGAACUAGGGAAUUUAGUCAUCACAGAAGAAAGAAAUGUAGAAUAUUUAUUGAGCUUAGUUGUCUGCAGUUUAGUGAAAUUUUCUUGAUUUUUUUUUCUUAAAACCACCACCAACACAUACAGACAAGGGAACAGAAGGUUGCAUCUGCCUCUAUCUUUCUCUAAUUCUUAAGAAAGUUCUAGUUAUAACUAAGAGAAGAAACCAACAGAAAUUGAUCCUUUGAAGUGGAGCGGGAAUGUACAGAAAGUUCAUUGCAAAAUCUUUCCUGAUAAAUUAUUGCUUUGUAUUUCUCCCUGUGUUUAUCUGUUUGUUUCUGUCUCCUGUAGUUCUAGGUAAAUCUAGGGGGCCGAAUCGGUGGUUCACCAUUUUUUUAAUCCCAGCAUUAGCCCAACUAGAAAGCAUGUUCUCCUUAAUCAAUGUUCAUUUGAGUAGGCAUUUCCAGACUUAUUGAUACUAUCGAAAAAGUACUGGUGUUUUCAGGUCAACAACAUCUUGAUACUUGUUACCUGUUACAAAUUACAUCAUCUAUAUAUUCAGUGAGGUUUUUCGGUUGAUAAUUUAAAUGGUUUUCUAUUCGAUGAAUUGCAAGGCUUACGAGGUUAAGUGCCAGUUUUUCCGAAGACAGAUAAGCUUUGUGAAAUGUCUAUCUCUGAUAUUUCUGACUGAUGCUUAAAAUGGUACACUUGUAUAAACUGUUCUUAUUUGCUUGGGUAAGCCCAUCCAGACCAACAUACAGACUUCAUUUGAUCUUCUUGUAAUUGAGCUCCCAUAUUUGCUUCAUAUAGCUUUGGUUCCCUUUCUUGUUCUGGCUCCUGUGUUGUUUUCCAUUCCUCAUUGUGGUAUAUCGCCAUCCUAGAUUUAUUAUCAAACAUAGGAUAUCUAAGAGUGAAUAAUAGAUAAUAAAAUCAGUUAAGAUAUUGAUGAAAGUGGCCACAAGCAGUCAAGCAUAUACAUAUCUUUUUGAUGCUAGGGUUCAUAUGGGAUAUUUUUGUCAAAACAAAGUAUAUUUUAAUAAUAGAGGAGAUAAGUCAUGAUAUCAGCUUACUUGAGAUGCAAUAUUUUCUUUCUUUUGGCUUUUGUAGUUUGAGUCUCCCUUCUCAGGUUGCUAGAUCAGCUGAGAGGAUAAAGAGUUGAUCUUUACUUUCUUAUAUAUCCUUGAUUUUUCUGAGCUAUGAAACAUAAAUACAAUCUCAAUUUUGAUUGAUAUCAUGGCGCCUUUACUUUUGUAGUCUCUCUUCUAUUUCACUUGGCAAGAUUAAUUGAAAUGAUCAUGAUAUUCUUAAAAGAAAAAAAGAAAUGAUCAUGAUUGAACAUUUUGGUGUUUGAGAAGCUGCAUGCUUUGGUUGUAAUUGUAUUUAGUAGUUCUUUGGGUCGCUUAAGAUCUCUGCAUGAAUGUUCAACUGCUAUAUUUUUUAUCUUAUCACUUAUCUUUCUGUGCUAUUUUGUCACUUAUCCUUCCGUGCUAUUUGGAGAAGAUGGAUUAUCUUUAACUUGUCCAUCAAGCAGUCAUGGAUGCCUUGGAGAAGAUAAAUAUUUGUUUAAUAUCUGAAUAUGUUAUAAUAUAUUCUGCAUUGUAUUGAUCAAAAUGGGCAUUUUAAUAAUGCUUAUUUCAUUUUAAUAAUUUAGUAAAUGGAUGCUUUGGUUUUCUUAUUGACUUUUUGCAUAAUGCUUAUCAAGUAGUGCUGGAUAAAAUUUCUCUGAUAUCUGAUUUUAUUCUAAUUAAAAAUGCAUUUUAUUGGUCUAAAUGGGUAUUUUUAUAAUACUUAUUUCAUUAUCUAAUUUUAGCUAUGUUGUAAAACGAAUGCUCUGCUUUUUUUUUUUAAAUUGUCAUUUUGCUUUGUUGUGGCAUUGGAAGGUCAAAUUAUGGUGUGACUGCCCAUUCUGGCCUGACGAUGGUAUGUGCCGUCUUCGGGAUUGCAGUGUCUGUGAGUGUCCAGAAAGCGAGUUUCCAGAGCCUUUUAAAAAACCUUUUCAUGGGCUUUCUGCUGAUGAUCUAAUAUGUCAAGAGGGAAAACCACAGGCUACUGUUGAUCGCACUCUGGAUAAUAAGAUUUUCAGAGGGUGGAUUGAAGUUGACAAUCCAUGGACUUAUGAUGAUGAGACUGAUAAUGGUAGUGCAUCUAGUAUGCUUGGUAUCUUAUUAAUUUUAGAUAAUUGUUAUACCUUUGUGGUAGUUUCAUCAUAUUGACUGAUUAUUGAUGUUCAACUUUUUCCUCUUCUUGGUGCAGCCGAGAUGACAUAUGUGAACCUUCAGCUUAAUCCUGAGCGCUACACUGGUUACACUGGCCCUUCAGCUAGGCGGAUAUGGGAAACUAUAUAUACAGAAAAUUGCCCAAAAUGUUAGCUCAAUGCUGAUUUUUGGGUUUUUAAAAGUCACACUCUUAUUCUAGUGACCAACUUUUCUCGUACAUUAUUAUCUAAGUGACCAACUUUUCUUAUACGACUUUUUCUUAUGUAUAUUAUAUGCUCGUUUGCUUGAUUUGUAGUAGGUUUAUUCAUCUUGGUUACGAUGAGACCACUUUGCUAUCUAAUUAACCUUUCUGACUAUUAUCAUUAAUUUUUCUUAAGCCUUUCCUACUGUUUUUAGUCAUUAAUGUUUCUCAAUCCCUCCUGACUAUUUUCAUUCCAGCAGUUUCCUUGAAGUCAAUCUCUGUUGAAAUUAUCUCAUCCCCUGAUUAUUGUUAAUUAUGCCACCAAAGUUACUGUUGUACUGAUUGAGCCUGAUGUUGCAAAAGUCAUGUAUCAGCAUGUCAUUUUUACUAGGCUACAAAGUUUAUAGCUUUUAAUGUUCUUAUUGGUGCUCAUUUUCAGAUCCAUCAGGAGAAUUUUGUCAGGAGAAAAAGGUCUUGUACAAGCUGAUUUCAGGAUUGCAUUCUUCCAUCUCGGUUCACAUAGCUUCUGAUUAUCUCCUUGAUGAAACUGACAACUUGGUUAUUUCUAACUCAUGCUUAUGCUCUGCAUUGUUAUUAGUCAUGUUUAGGGUGCAUUUAGUUGUAUGUUCUUAUUUUUGGGAUAGGUUUUAUGACAUUUCAAUUCUUUUCUUGAUCACAGUGGGGUGAAAAUCUUGAGUUGUUGUAUGAUCGAGUACUGAAGCACCCAGAGCGUGUGAGAAACUUGUACUUCACCUUUUUGUUUGUUCUCCGGGCAGUUACAAAGGUGAUUUUCUUGCAUGUUGCAUUUUCUUCCUUUUGAAAAAACACUUGAUACCACUAUGCAGUGAUCCCUAAAUCUCAUCAUGAUUUAUCAUGGUUGUUGUGACUUCGUUCAAGAAUUCAACAUAUCUCCAAGAUGUAUCCAAUUAAUAUCAGCAUUAUGUCAUGUAACAUGCACAAUGAGGUUUCUGUCUUUCAUCAGAACAUGUCUAUUCUUGUUGCUGCUGUUAUAGUUUUCUGUUUUUGACAUUUCCACUGCACAUUUUGAAUGUAUAGUUCCUUUUACUAUGUCCUUGGUGUAACUUUGCAUGCUCAUUGAUGCAUGAGAAUAAACGAUUGGAAUGAAUCAUUUGUGUUAGUUGAUAUGAUGCUAAAUAUUUUAUGAAUGUCUCCCGGAGACACAUGGAGAGAGAGGCAUUAGUUACCAAAACAAAUGCAUUUAAGUUAGUUUUUAUUGCUAACUGUGUCAAGAUGGCAGCCCCAUUUUACACAAUGGUUAUGGUCAAUCGUUAUGGUAUUAUGCUAUAGAUGACAUUUUCUGUCUCAUAAUUUUGGUGGAAUUAAUAUAGAUACAGUUUACUACAAAGUGAAAGUUAUUCUUUAGACCAAUAGUUUGUACUGGGGUAAUAAUGGGGAAUCCAUCCCUAUUUCGAACUCAGACCCUGCUUUUCCAUCUUCAGUCCUAAGCACAACCAGGAUGAGAAUCUGAAUGUCUUUAUCAGAGUUCAAACUGACAUCACCUGUACACCCAUGGGAUGGGGUUAUUUACCACCACCUUGUGCAAUUAAUUACAACAGUACUGUUGAUGGACAUACUCUACUCCAUAGUAUCGAUAGGUUUUAUUUACUAGUCAAUUAAUAUUUUUACUGUCAUGACAUAAAAAUUUUCUCCAUGGUAUGUAUAAACAUUUCACUUACUGCAUCACAUUGCUCCAGUGAUGACAAUAUUUAUUCUCAACUUGUUUGCAGUUAGUUAUAUGGAUACUUUCCAACCAUUUGUCUCUGUCAAGUGCAACAUCUUCAAAUAGUCCAACAGUCAUAUCUUGCCUUUGUAUCUGUUUUUCUCUCAAGUUCUAUGAUUUUCCACUUCUUCUCUCAAAACCUUGAACUUUUUUAUAUUUCUUUUUUAAUGGUGUAUGUAAAGGAGGCCACAUACUCUUGCAAUGUUAGGAUUUUUUCCUAAUAUAAAUUUACAAAACUGUGAUUUUAUUUCCAAUUUAUUUUUUUCACAAAAGAAAAGGUUCUUUAGCCCCUAACUUAUUAUAUGUUUAUUUUUAUAUAAUAACGCCUCCUUCUCUGUAUGUGUACCGGUUUGUAUAACCAAUAUUGUCAUACCUCUCAAAUUUUCUCCUAGCAUAAUUUUUCCUCUAUAUCUUUUCUUCAUUUGGGUGACUCUUUUGCAUGAUGCUAAUCUAGGGUUUAUUACCCAAAAUGAAUCCAGAAGAAUACUAGUUAAUUAUUUUAAAUUCAUUUCACUUAGUGCAUUAUCAAUGUUAAAAUUUUAUAUUGUACAAUCAUAAUAAUUUUUCUUAUGCAUGUUCAAGGAUGAGAAAGAAUUUCUAACUUUGAACUCCUUGUAUUGCUUGGUCUUUUCAUAAUUAUGCAACCAAAUUCCAUUAUUCCAUAAAUAGUCAUUCAAAGAUAUAUUUUGCAUCUUUCAAGUUAUCACUAGUUUCAGAUGCUUAAUGGAUCUGUGUUGCCAUCCGCAUUUUUGACUGUUCUCUGCUACUCUCAUCUUUUGGUUUCAAUGCGGAUGCACGCUGAGGCUGUUUCAAAGUGUAUAUUCUGCAUCUUUUCAUUUGUCUCUAGUCUUACUUGCUAUAUGGAUCUCGGUUAUUAUACUAGCGCUUCUCUGGAUCCAUGUGUAUCUAUCACAUCAUUCUUCUUCUUUAUGUGUCACAGGCUCCAGAUUAUUUAGAACAGGCUGAGUAUAACACAGGCAACUUAGAAGAAGAUCUUAAAACACAAUCAUUAGUGAGGCAACUAGUCUACAAUCCCAAAUUACAAACUGCUUGCCCACUGCCAUUUGAUGAGGCCAAACUCUGGCAAGGUGAGAGUGGGCCUGAACUGAAGCAGCAAAUUCAGAAGCAAUUCAGAAAUAUCAGGUUUAAAUAUUAAACUUGGCAUAUUAUGAUUGUAAAAGCUAGAACCAUCAAACUGAUGGGACCCAUAAUCAAUUGCAGUGCGUUGAUGGAUUGUGUUGGAUGUGAGAAAUGCCGCCUUUGGGGGAAACUUCAGAUUCUUGGUCUGGGCACAGCUUUGAAGAUUCUGUUUUCUGUUGAUCACCAAAACUAUAUUAAUCAGCAGGUACAUAUCUUUCUUCAUUACAAUGGUUAUGCACUAAGAUGAUGCUUAUGUUUGCACUAGCAAAAGUGGGCUUAGUUUGAUCAUUAAUCAUAUGUGACAACAUACAAAAUCUCUGUGUGCUUGUGUGUGUGUAUGUGUUUUUCUUCUUUUUUUUGAGUGGAGAACAUGGUUGUGAAAUAAUAAACAACCCAAAAAAGUUGUGGUCGAUCAACCAAAUUUUUUGGGAUCAUCUAAGUACUAAAAUCAUGAAGUUCUGAUGUAAACUGAUGAGUAAAAAUGAAUUCUGGUAAUAUGACAUAAUUCCAUCAACGUCAAACAACUUAAGAGCCUUUUUAUCUUGCAAAAGUUUAUUUCUGUUUUUGUAGUUACUCUCCAGGGUUCUUCUGGUCUUGUAUUUUUAUAUAUUUGGUUGGUCUUGGGAAAUCAUUUAAAUCACAUAGCUCACAUUAAUGGUGGAUCUUUGCUGGUCUUUCAGCUGCAGCUCCAACGAAAUGAAGUAAUUGCUCUGAUGAACCUUCUAAAUAGGCUGUCGGAAUCUGUUAAAUUUGUCCAUGACAAGGGGCCAUAUGCUGAGAGAAUCGUGGGAGGGAAGAUUUCUUCUCCUACCAGCAAGAACAGCUUAUAGACAGCAAUAGUUCUAGCUAUUUUAGUAAGAUUUCUUUUUCCUCUGCUGUCUCUGUUUGAAUGACUGCAUUUAAUUUGUAAUCUCAAUCUUAUCUUCCUUUUUGAACUUUCAGAAUGCUGAUUAUAUGACAGUUUUGGAUACGUGAAUUUUUUGGACCACAUUAUAGUGGUGAUGAGAGCUGCCUAUUUAUAGUUUUUGGGGUGAUCCUGGGGAGAUCUACCACCUUUCUUUGCGGUAGAUGACUCCGACGCAGAAAGAAACAAAGAUGUAGAGAUGCUCCACAGAAGAUCGAUACAAGCAUUCAUCUCAAUCGAGAGCUAUGAUGUGUGACUUGCUAAAUCGAAGUACUGUAACUUGCAUGAGACUUUCAAGCUUAUUGUACUGUGUACAAACGAUUACCCCAAACAAACUGCUAAAUUAUACUAGGUUUUCUGGAACUUCAAAGCAAUUGUUCUUGCUCUGGAUAUUCCUUAUGGCAAGAUUCUUUUGGAACUUCCUGUCAUGCCUUUCUGACAUGGGAACAUAUUUUGAUUACCCUAUAUUCUCGAGGGAUGAGUAGUAGACGCUAAACUUUACAAUCCACCAUGGAAGAGAGAAAGUUGUAAUCUUCUGGCUUUUCAAAAUAUAUCUGGCAUUCAAACUCAUUCAUGGUGGUAUUACUACUAGACUACCUAUCAUUGCCACUAUGAUUAUUGCUGUAAUAUUUUUUGGGAAUUUUAAGACCAAUUUUUAUUUGUGCAUCACCAUUUGUCAAUGUACUUGAAAGGUGAAAUCUCAAAAAUAUUAUCCUUUAUGCAGCUGUUCUCUAUCAUUGUUAUAGUUGAGUUUGAUCAGUCUGCAUGCAGUUCUACUUAUGUUUACUUUAGCUUUAGCAUCAGAGUUAAUCCAACACAUCAAAAUCUUAAGAUCAAAACUGGGAUUAUUUUUGUUGAAGAUCCAAACAAAUAUCUUUCUCAUUAUUCUAUGAGGAUGUGGAUGGAUAUUGCCAAAUGAGUCCAUGCUACAAUCUCAAGCUCUAGAAUUAUUACAGCAUCUCCAUGCAAAACAUGCUUCUUCUUACCCAAAUCAGUGAUGGUGACAAAAGAAUCAAACAAAGUAUGCGUGAAAACAAUGAAGAUGAAGCUCAAUGACCGGGCGGGCACGGUCCGCUGCCGCCGCUGGAUCCAUUGGUGCAAUUUGAAGGAACAGAAGAUCCAUUGUCGCCUUUUGGCAGUGAUUGGAACAUUUCCAGAAUCACCAUCUUCCCAAAUCGCGUUGCUUCCGCAGGGGAUUGGAAGCUGAAGAGCAGCAAGAUGAAGACUAUGGCUGUCACUUUGGGCAGGUUUCUCCUCACAGAACUCAUUGCUGUUGCUAAUGCCUUCAAGCAAGAACAAAGAUGAGGUAGGUGGAUGAGGAAACUUGAUGCAUAGAUGAAUGGAGAAGGGGAUGUAUAUAUAGAAUCUGCCAUCAGUGUGCGGUUCAAAUCUAUUGAAGUGUUUGACCGGGAGAGAGAACUCUUUGCAUACGUUAAGGAAGCAGCAAGGCAAUGUUGUCUUUGAAUUGCAUCAGUUGAAAUGGUCUUCUUCUUUGUGUGUGGUUGGAAGUCCUACACUAACAAUGGAAGAGAGUUCAGAUUUUUCCUAUGACCCAGAAGUCGGAUGACAGAAAACUUCGAUGAAACAUGAAACAUAGUUGUCAGUAUUGGAUCAUGGAAAAUUCCUUAAAUGGCCACUCUCUACAUAAAUGUUUUUGAUUCAGCUGCAUGUGAGUGGCAAUGACAUUAGGUCACCCAAAAAUACAUUCAUGGAACAGAAAGCUAAUAGAAUAACUUUUGUUAAAGAUCCAAAUGAAUUUUUGUGUCUGCAUUAGUGGAAUUACUAAUAUUUCUUAUGCAGGGAAAAGUUGAUUUCUUUUUGUUUUUUUUGACAUAGGUUUGUAUAUUUUGGGAAACACCUACAAAUAUUCUUACUUUUCGAUAAGUUUCUUUUGGUUAUAUAUAUGUUGAUGGAAAUUAAUCACAUAAUUUCAUGGAGCUCAUAGGAAAAACUUAGUUCAUAAGAUUAUUAUUGUAACCUGUGGUCAUCAAUGUUGUUUGCUUUGAAAUGCUACUUGCUAGUUUCAAGAAUCACUAGUGAUCAGCAAUAUCUUUUCAUUAGAAUAUUUGGAGUGCCUACAUUUGUGGCAUUGAAUGGAUUCACCACUAUUACAAUGUAUGGUAUGAAUUCAUGCAACCAGAAACAGAGUCAUCAAUGUACAUGAAGAGGACCAGAAGUGAUGUCAAGAUGUAUGAAUGAAUCCUCCUUUAGAAUGAACUCCUUUGACCAGAUGACACAACAUUUUCUUGGUAAAAGUCAGGAGAUUGAAGGCAAUAGUUGAUUGGAAACUCCCAAAGAAAGAUGAUGUCGUGAAAUGUCUGAAGCUGCACAAAUUCAGAUGAAGAAAUUUCCUCGAGAUGUUAUCGUCAACAUCCACAUAGUUGAUUGGAAAAAGUAAUACAAGUCAACACCAAUGUGGACUUAGCUGUGGUUGACCUCUGGUCCAAGUUAUAUGUUGACCAUGAGCAGACUCCUGGUCAAAUCAACUACAAUAGUCAUGCUGAAGAACAAACAAAUAUGAAGACUCAGUGAUUGUCGGUGAUGUCUAAAUUCUUUCAGGUUUUGGUGCAUCUUCUUUUGCAACAAAUUUCUUUCAUCUGAAAUAGUAUGAGUAGAGUUGCUGUUUUCCUAUACUAUAUAUACUGACUGUCAUACAACUCUGCUUUUAGGUAAAUAAGAGAAGUCAACAUAUUAGUUUAAUUAGGAUAAUAUAAUAAAGGCUUCAAUGGUAUGUACUCUACUAAACUAUACAAUUAAUGAGAUUGCUAUUUCUAAUAUACUAUACUGUAGAUAUAUGAUAUGUAGAUAUAUGAUAUGUAAUAUAUUAGUGGUUAAUCAUCAUCUGGCAUAUAAAUAUAAUGUGAAAAUUAUCAUGAAAGAAAAAAGUCUAUGUCACUCUCCACCCAUCUAACUGCAUAGAUAAUAGUCUAAAAUAGGUCAUUCAAAACUGUCUCCCCCAUGCUACCCACGUGGAUAAAAUAUCAAGAUGGGAACGUUGGGGCGAUUAUAUGUUGUCCCCUCUAAUUCCAUGUAUAAAAGCUAAUCUCCGAUACAAUGUCAAAGGGCUUUCUUUCCGAUAAAAAACUUAUACUCACUAGGAGACAUCGAUCACUAACUUGAGUGUAUGAGGGAUUGGGUCGAAAAGUUUCCCUCGACCUUGGUCUUAGUGUAGGUAGUGCAUCGAGAGCUCGAUACUUCGACCUUGAAGUCACCUCAAAGCCACCUUAGUCAUCACCUUGGACACUUCUAUGUUCUUAGGUUUAGACCAUAGCGGGUUGACUCAAACGUCAAUAAUGAUUUUUCAUAAUAUUUUUGGCCCUAGAUUUAUGGUCUUAUGUUGUAGGAAUGUCCACCCAUAAAUCAUCCCAACGAAUGCUCCAGUGAGGAGACCCUCCCUUCGACCCAUAGUACUUUUACUCAAAGGGGGUAGCUGUCAUCCUUCCCUCACAUGGAUGUCUCCACUUUGGCAUAAACACUAGUGUGGUACUGGCGUCUGUUCAAUGACCUCGGCCUUUCACCCAUGGGGACAAACAUCAAGUUACCUACUCAUCUAUACUGAGGUGCUCCCAAACCUUACCCGGUAGGUGUAUAUGCUCAUGGGCAUGAUGUAGGCUAUCAUCCCGCACCUACCUAAUUUAGACCAACAAGCAACACACUAUCUUAAUCAUGAUCAAUACAUCAACUUCCACUGGCUCCGAUGCCCAUCGGGAUCCUAUAGCCUGACGCGAUACUAGCAUCUUAAGAUUGCUCGAGGCCCAUAGAAUUACUGGCCGAGGGAGCACCUCGCUUCCUAACCAUGGAAUUUAGUGUACUGUUGCACUACCACUUUAUUCUACCCGAAUCUAAGACAGUUACCAGAUUCAAUGGAUAACUCCCUUAGGAUCCAACUACAACAAAUAGACCAAUACUUAGAAGAGAUGUAGUAAGAGUUCCAAUAAUCCAAAGAGAAAAGGUUGGACAAUCCUAUCUCGAGUCGAGCCUCAUUCACUUAGAACAUUUAGAAGGAGCCAGUCUUGACAAACUUCUACCUCCUGUCAUCAAAGGCCUUUGAAGGCAGUACCAACCCGAUGGAUCAUACUACCACGUUCCGUACCUAAAUGUCACUAUACGACACUUUGGACGUCCUAAUUCGUCCAUCACUUGUAAUAUAAGCUUUCAUAAUGGAGCUCAAACUCUCUCACCUUUUCUAAUCAUUGGUGGAGAGGCCACUGAUACUCGAGAUGCUCCAGAAGGCCAACCAAUAUAUUAUUGCGAAGGUAAUAGUUUCAAGUAAGUAUGAGGAGACGUAUAAAAGGCUAAAACAAGAGUGACUAUUAUUAGCCCCGACCCCAAGGUCACCAUGGUAAAGAAGAAAUGACUAACUUGAGUUGCCUUACCUAAGGUCCGAGUCGACUUCCUUGAAUAUGACUAGAACUGAAGUCUUUUUACAAAUAAAUAAAAAAGGCUCUUGAAAGACUCUUAACCGAUUAAGAUAUCAUUGAGAGGAGAGACAAAUAUAAGUACUAUCACUUCCACCUUGAUUAUAGCCACAACAUGAAAGACUGUUGCGAUUUGAAUGAGUAAAUCGAGGAACUCGUUUGUUGGGGAGACCUAUGGAGGUUUGUCCGGAGGCACUGGGAACUUUCGCCCCGACUUUAGGGGCCGAUGGAGAGGCAAAUUGAUGUCAUCAUUAGUAGAUCUACCUCAAGAGGAGAUAGCUUCUUGGGUCAUAAAGCCUACACCGAAGCUACUAUCGAAAAGCUCUCGAGGUUUGAAGAUGACUUGAAAAUAACCUUCAAGGAAAAAGAGAUGAAGUAUACAACUUAAACCAUAAUGAUGCCUUAGUGGUCUCUAUGGAGAUGAUUAAUGCCUAAGGUCAUGAUUGACAUAGGUAACUUUGUCGAUAUCUUUUAUUUUAAUGUUUUUCAAAAACUUGGGCUCUAAGUUAACAAUCUUACCCCUAUGAACUUUUUGUUGAUGGGGUUCUUUAGCAACUCUACCUCCCCUCUCAGGAUUUUGAGCCUGCAUGUCAUGUUUAGGGAUGAGCUCUACUCCAAAAUCGUGAUGACCAAAUUCAUAGUAGUCGACAUCCCCUUGGCAUACAAUGUGAUUAUAGGUUAACCCAUGCUUAACAGGCUGAGGGCAGUAGUGUGACCUAUCACAAGAUGAUGAAAUUUUCAAUAAAGACUGGUGUUAAAGAGUCGAUAAGCAACUAGAGAGAGUUAUGCCAGUGAUAUCUAAUGGCAAUCCCCCUACCGAAUAAGGUCUGGCCCGAAGCACCGUCGAUGAACCCUCAAAAUUUUGCCAAGUCCCUCCCACAUAUGGAUCUAAUAGAGCCACUGAUCAAGGCACCCCACAACAAGACCCAUCCUUAUUAGAUUAUCAAGAUCGAGGUAACAUUUCCCGAUGACAAGCGAGUGUAAUUCAUUAAUUUUAUCAAAGAGAAUACCGAGGUAUUUACAUGGCCACUAAGAGACAUGUUGAGAAUCAGCCCAAAUAUAGCCUAGUACUACUUGAACAUCUCUCUGAACGCUCGAAUGGUAUAGCAAAAGUCUCACAAGUUUGUUCCUGAUCGAUCAUAGGUGAUUAGCGAUGAAAUAGAUAAGCUGUUAGGAUCGAACUUUAUUGCUGAGAUGCAGCACCCCUAGUGGCUUGUAAUGUUAUACUAGUUAAAAAGUCUAAUGAAAAUUAAAGGAUAUAUAUUAAUUAUACCGAUCUUAAUAAGGCAUGUCUUAAGGACAACUACCCUCUCCCCCAGAUUGAUUAGUUGGUUAAUGCUACGAGCUCCUCACCUAUAUAGAUGUAUUUUCGGGAUAUAGUUAAAUAAAGAUGACACUAUAGGAUCAUCGAGAACAUACCCUUUUUUAUCAUAGAUUGAGACAUAUUGCUAUCAAGUUAUGCUAUUUGGAUUGAAAAAUAUGGACAUGCCAUACUAAAGGAUGGUGAACAAGAUGUUCAAGCACUAGAUUGGGAGGAAUAGCAAGGUGUAUAUAGACGAUGGGUAAGUUUAACAUUUGAAAUGUAUCGAGGAUUGUCAUAAAGGCUCAAGGGUAGAUUUUAUCUCAAAGCUAACUCUCUCGCCUGAGUCCGAUAGUCACACCCUUUAUGCAUAGACUUUAUUUAUAGAUGGUUCCGCCACAUCGGAAAGGGGUAAUGCUAGACUUAUUUUAAAGGCCCUGAAUAAGUAGGUGUAUGAACAAGCUCUUCAGAUCGAAUUCAAAAUCUCCAAUAAUGAGGCCGAAUAUGAAACACUUCUAUCAAGGCUCUAACUCGCACGAGAGUUUCAGGUUAAAGACUUGACGGUAUUCAGUAACUCAUAACUGAUUGUGAGAUAAAUGAAGGGGAGCUACGAAACCUGAGAUAUGAUUAUGGCAAAGUACCUCAUUGAGCUACGGAGGUUAACUCAUAGUUUCUCCCAACUCAAUGUAUUAUGAGUCCCUCUUGUAGAAAAUGUCGAGGCUGAUACACUCACUAAGUUAGCCUCCACUUGAGCUUUGAGGGAGGGCUAGUUGUUGGUCAUGGCGCUAUUGACCUGAACUAUUGAAAAGCACAAUGUGUCUAUGGUCAAAGAGGAACCGAGUUGAAUAUACGAGAUAUUGUGCUACAAAAAAGAUGAGACACUCUCAAUUGACCCCAUGACAUCGCGAAGAGUCAAGAAUCAUCAAGCAUGAUAUUGCAUAAUUAAUGAUUGCCUAAAGCGUUGGUCUUUCAGCCAAUAUUCCUCAUAUACUUAAUACCCUAAGAGGCCAAGAGAGUACUCAUCGAGAUGCAUGAGGUGGGUGAACUCUUACAUUAAAAGUGCUUUGGUAGGGGUUCUACUAGCCAAAGUCGUGAAGGACAUAAUUAGAUUAUUGAUUAGCAAGCCAAUUAGCACACUGUUUCGCCUCUCUCUCUCUCUAUCUCUCUCUCUCUCUCUACGUGAGAGACUUUGACAUUAUUGAAUGAGUUGAUGAGAUGAAAAAUGUGGACAGCAAUCUUGGCCCGUAUCAGUUCUAAGUAUAAAGCUGCGGUGGAUCUUUCAAACCCCAACCAGACACCCUGCUUCUUCGGAGGGAGUGAAAGAUCCAACGCGAUGCAAACCCACACAUACUUUCCCCUCUCCAUCGAGACGGAUUUUUCGUCUAAGCGAAGGGGUCUGUCUACAACGGAAGCAAUCUGCAGCACCCCCUUCUUGUGCCAAUACUCCACCGGCAACUCUUGAAGACGGAUCCAGGCCGGUGCACUUUGGAAUUGCUCCAGCAUCGAUCGGAAGUUUGGCUACCAGGCGAUCAAGUAUAGAACAUCACCCCUAAACGACCAAGGGCUUUCCAUCACGACCCUUACAGCUUCAUAUUCAGAAGAGGAAAAAUCCCCCGGCCAAAUCCCAAACAAGGGGAGGAGAUGAACAUUUCCGGAGUUUGGUCAGCUAUUCUGAAGUCGAUGGUUUAUACAUUAAUUUCCACCACAUCAUUUCUCAUAUUUACUGCAUCCAGAAGUGCAUGCCAAGUUUCUUUUUCUUUACCUCGCAAAAUUGCUCCCAUGAGCCCAUCCACCGGUCACUGUGGCCUUUGUUGAAGCUGCAAAAUAUACUCUUGUGAUCACUGCUUGAUUGGAAUCAAAUCUGUUGUUCCAUUUCUUCAUCCAACAAGACCAUAAUACACUGCUAUAUAUGUAUAAAAUAAUUCAUUAAAAGAAAAAAGGUAUUAUAAGGAUUCAAUUCAUGAUAUGCUCAAACAAACAGUUGGGGGACAGACCAAGCAACACAACCAUACACAGAGUGGCUUCCAUGUCUUCAAGUGCAUAUGGAUGCAAUACCAACAUAAGCUCAUCAUCCAACCUUGAGUUGAUUCUCGCCAAAGAAACCCAAUGAUGUUGAUCAUGAUCUACUUGCUACCCGUGACACUUUAUAUUGCACUUCUGCGAUAACUUUACCUGGAAAACUAGACACGGACAUCAUUUAACCUGCAAGAAACUCGCUCAUCUACUCAACGUCCUGCAACAGAAGUGAUGAGGUUUACCAUACAAGAAAACAUUACAUUAAAACAUAAAAUGAAAAACAGAAGCUGUAAAUUCUGUGACCAUAGUUGUUUAGAAUAUAGAAGGAUAUGAAUCAGAUAUAGAAUGGGCACGGAUGCCAAUGGCAUUUUAGGUUUUUAUAGGUGGUAGUCACAUAAAUCAUGUACCGGACCCAUAGCGAUUGCUGGCCGAACCAAUGUGUAUCAGUUGGCACCAAUCUGUUGACACAGACACAGUACAUCGAUACAUUCUAGUGUUUCGAUGUUUUGAAGAUGAAAAAAAAAGAAAAGGAGGAAGGCAUAGUGGAAGAGGGAGGAGGGAGAAAAACAAAUAGGAAGGAAGAUGAGAAGGCGGUGGAGGAAGAGAAACAGGAAGAAAAUAGAAGAAGAGGAAACUAUAGAGGAGGAAGAAAAAAAAAGAAGUGGUGAAGGAAGCAAGAAGAAGAAGAAGAGAAGGCAAUGGAGGAGGAAGACAAAGGAAUAAGAGAGUGGUAGAGGAGAAGAGAAGAGAAGAGGGCCUACCAAGGAAGUAGGUGGCAACGACGUCAAAUGACAAUGGUGAGGCAAACAACAGCAACGAUGACAUCGAAUGACAACAGUGGCAACAUUGAUUACAUGUGGCCUGCAAGAAGAGGGCUCACAUUCACGAGCCUUAAUCGAUGUUUAGGUUUUAUUUUUAUAUUGAGUUGGACCAGACCACCAGCAACAAGGCGAUCCACAUAUAGGUUCACAUAUAGGUACCACCUCUGUUGUACCGAUCUAGAAGAAACUGACUUCCUUGGAUCUAAUAACUUGGCUAUUGUACUUCAUAAGAGUAUAAUUUCUAAAAGUUAUUUUGCAGAAAUAAGACAUGAAAGCUUAAAGAUAGGGCAAACACAGUGCACUAAGCUCCUGUAAAUGUGAGGUUCAAAAAUUUCAAUGCACGUGGCAUUACUUCUAUACGCAUAUAUAGCGACCCAUCAUAUCGGUGUCAGAUGGCGACAAAAGAGCCAUGUAGCCAACCCCAAAUAGUUGGGGUUUACGGUUUUGUUGAUUGUUGUUAUUGUUAUAUAUAUAUAUAUAUAUAUAUAUAUAUAUAUAUAUAUAUAUAUAUAUAUA